rnacentral:lncRNA from 1 species
AGGUCCAUUUAGCCGGUGAGUCGGAUCACAAAUACAUAUCCCAUCUGAAUUUUGUCGAUCAAUCUUUAGCUAGCUAGCGUAUUUGGCUUAUUAGAAACGCAUAUUGCUAUGGAUGAAUUAGUUUCAGUUUUGGUGCUACUUUCACUGUAAGACUGACGUGUUUCUAGCUUUUGGAAAAUUGAUUUGUAGGCUGGUCCAUCAACGAUGAGCUCCACAGAUGUCCCAGCUAGCACCGACAGCCUCGCCGGUGAGUCAUGGCAGAAGUCAUGGCCAGAGGUGGUGGGCAAGUCCAUAAAGGAGGCCAGAGAGAUCAUACUCAAAGACAAGCCCGACGCCGACAUCGUCGUGCUGCCAGCCGGGUCGCCGGUGACCCGGGACUUGAGGCCCAACCGCGUGCGCAUCUUCGUCGAUACCGUCGACGACACACCCUUCACUGGCUAGCUCUAGCUUUGCAAGCGCGAAAAAAUGUAUGCGUGCCCCAUCCAUGCAUGCGCAUGAAUAAGUUUUUAGUAAUUGAUGAAUAAAUGCUGGCAUGUCGAGCAUCAGCAUGGCAUGGAUUUGUGUAACUUUUCGUUCCGUCUUUUUUGUUUUGUUUUGUGAGAGAAUCGUUUCAUCUACUUAUGUGUACGUUGUUUGUGCUUUGGACUAGUUCCUGUUUGAAAGAGUACUAGGUUUGUAUCUGAGUACUCAUUAUCCACAAAAUUAGAGAAUGGCAUGCGCUACCUAGUCCUUCCACGUGGCAGUCCAUUUGGUAUCCUCUUUGAAACAACUUUGUUGCUGUACGAACCAUGCAUGCGUUCAUGUUCCAUUUGAUUCUUCCAAACAUGCAGAGCACCAUAUAUACAUAGAUGACGGUCAGUUCCAAAUUCAUCAUCAUCAUCAUCAUCAGUGAGUUUUAGUUGCCCGCAGAAUUUUAUCACUGAAACCAUUUAGAUCGAAUAUCAGUUUUUACUGUUGGUCUCAUGCGACCGGAUCUUCAUUGCUAUGAAGUUGCUAGUGGUGAACUAUCUCGUUUUAGACACGUAGUCACCUGGUGAUAAAACAUCGAUCCCACACCUCUAAUGAAGCCGCACAUAAUAUUACUUCCAUGUUCUAUGGUCAUAUCAAUCUCCUAUUUCCUGAUUGCACUGGACAACUCAUCUCUGGACUUGCAUAGCAACUCCUAAAAAAUGAAGUACUUAAUGGGGGCUCGUACGUCACUAAAUGGAUUUCACAAAGAUAUAUAUUGUCACUAGUACACAUUCUUGCAAUGGAAUUCUUAAAACACACACAUAUCACGUGCUUGUCUCGCCUCUUCUCGAGACCUUCCUUUGUUGCAAGAAAACACACAAUUUGAAGAUCCCGUUGGUGGCAAGUUGAAGAUGGAUCCGCUCAAAGACAAGUUUAUUUGUAAUAGUCCGAAUUGUCCAAUAUACAUCCCUGAAGCCCCACCCAAUAUAUCACACGAGCACAACCAGAGCUGGCCAGGAUAAUCUCGCCGAAGUCAGAGCCCCUACAGGUUCGAGAGACAUGCAGACAUGACCGAGACGCCUCUUCGGUCAAUAACCAACAACGGGAUCUGGAUACCCAUGUUGGCUCCCACAUGUUCCACGAUGAUCUCAUCGGAUGAACCACGAUGUCGAGGAUUCAAUCAAUCCCGUAUGCAAUUCCCUUUGUCAAUCGGUAUGUUACUUGCCCGAGAUUCGAUCGUCGGUAUCCCAAUACCUUGUUCAAUCUCGUUACCGGCAAGUCUCUUUACUCGUACCGCAAUGCAUGAUCCCGUGACUAACGCCUUAGUCACAUUGAGCUCAUUAUGAUGAUGCAUUACCGAGUGGGCCCAGAGAUACCUCUCCGUCACACGGAGUGACAAAUCCCAGUCUCGAUCCGUGCCAACCCAACAGACACUUUCAGAGAUACCCGUAGUGUACCUUUAUAGUCACCCAGUUACGUUGUGACGUUUGGUGCACCCAAAGCACUCCUACGGUAUCCGGGAGUUGCACGAUCUCAUGGUCUAAGGAAAAGAUACUUGACAUUGGAAAAGCUCUAGCUAACGAAACUACACGAUCUUUUAUGCUAUGCUUAGGAUUGGGUCUUGUCCAUCACAUCAUUCUCCUAAUGAUGUGAUCCCGUUAUCAAUGACAUCCAAUGUCCAUAGUCAGGAAACCGUGACUAUCUGUUGAUCCACGAGCUAGUCAACUAGAGGCUUACUAGGGACACGUUGUGGUCUAUGUAUUCACACAUGUAUUACGAUUUCCGGAUAAUACAAUUAUAGCAUGAACAAUAGACAAUUAUCAUGAACAAAGAAAUAUAAUAAUAACCAUUUAUUAUUGCCUCUAGGGCAUAUUUCCAACAGUCUCGCACUUGCACUAGAGUCAAUAAUCUAGUUACAUUGUGAUGAAUCGAACACCCAUUGUGUCCUGGUGUUGAUCAUGUUUUUCUCUAGGGAGAGGUUUAGUCAACGGAUCUGCUACAUUCAGAUCCGUAUGUACUUUACAAAUAUCUAUGUCUCCAUUUUGAACACUUUCACGAAUGGAGUUGAAGCGAUGCUUGAUAUGCGUGGUCUUCUUGUGAAACCUGGGCUCCUUCGCAAGGGCAAUAGCUCCAGUGUUGUCACAGAAGAGAGUCAUCGGGCCCGACGCAUUGGGAAUCACCCCUAGGUCGGUAAUGAAGCCCUUCAUCCAGACUGCUUCCUGUGCUGCCUCCGAGGCUGCCAUGUACUCCGCUUCACAUGUAGAUCCCGCCACGACGCUUUGCUUGCAACUGCACCAGCUUACUGCUCCUCCAUUCAAAAUAUACACGUAUCCGGUUUGUGACUUUGAGUCAUCCAGAUCUGUGUCGAAGCAAGCGUCGACGUAACCCUUUACGACGAGCUCUUCGUCACCUCCAUAAACGAGAAACAUAUCCUUAGUCCUCUUCAGGUACUUCAGGAUAUUCUUGACCGCUGUCCAGUGUUCCAUGCCGGGAUUACUUUGGUACCUUCCUACCAAACUUACGGCAAGGUUUACAUCAGGUCUGGUACACAGCAUGGCAUACAUAAUAGACCCUAUGGCCGAGGCAUAGGGGAUGACACUCAUCUUUUCUCUAUCUUCUGCCGUGGUCGGGCAUUGAGCCGUGCUCAAUUGCACACCUUGCAAUACAGGCAAGAACCCCUUCUUGGACUGAUCCAUAUUGAACUUCUUCAAUAUCUUGUCAAGGUAUGUACUCUGUGAAAGACCAAUGAGGCGUCUUGAUCUAUCUCUAUAGAUCUUGAUGCCUAAUAUAUAAGCAGCUUCUCCAAGGUCCUUCAUUGAAAAACACUUAUUCAAAUAGGCCUUUAUACUUUCCAAGAAUUCUAUAUCAUUUCCCAUCAAUAAUAUGUCAUCCACAUAUAAUAUGAGAAAUGCUACAGAGCUCCCACUCACUUUCUUGUAAACACAGGCUUCUCCAUAAGUCUGUGUAAACCCAAACGCUUUGAUCAUCUCAUCAAAGCGAAUGUUCCAACUCCGAGAUGCUUGCACCAGCCCAUAGAUUGAGCGCUGGAGCUUGCAUACUUUGUUAGCAUUCUUAGGAUCGACAAAACCUUCCGGCUGCAUCAUAUACAACUCUUCCUUAAGGAAGCCAUUAAGGAAUGCCGUUUUGACGUCCAUCUGCCAUAUCUCAUAAUCAUAGUAUGCGACAAUUGCUAACAUGAUUCGGACGGACUUCAGCUUCGCUAUGGGUGAGAAAGUCUCAUCGUAGUCAACCCCUUGAACUUGUCGAUAACCCUUAGCGACAAGUCGAGCUUUGUAGAUGGUCACAUUACCAUCCGCGUCCGUCUUCUUCUUAAAGGUCCAUUUGUUUUCUAUGGCUCGCCGAUCAUCGGGCAAGUCAGUCAAAGUCCAUACUUCAUUUUCAUACAUGGAUCCUAUCUCGGAUUGCAUGGCUUCUAGCCAUUUGUCAGAAUCCGGGCCCGCCAUCGCUUCUUCAUAGUUCGAAGGUUCACCGUUGUCUAACAACAUGAUUUCCAGGACAGGGUUGCCGUACCACUCUGGUGCGGAACGUGUCCUUGUGGACCUACGAAGUUCAGUAGUAACUUGAUCCGAAGCUUCAUGAUCAUCAUCAUUAACUUCCUCCCCAGUCGGUGUAGGCAUCACAGGAACAUCUUCCCGCGCUGCGCUACUUUCCGGUUCGGAAGGGGUGACUAUCACCUCAUCAAGUUCCACUUUCCUCCCACUUAAUUCUUUCGAGAGAAACUCCUUCUCCAGAAAGGACCCGUUCUUGGCAACGAAGAUCUUGCCUUCGGAUCUGAGGUAGAAGGUAUACCCAAUAGUUUCCUUAGGGUAUCCUAUGAAGAAGCAUUUCUCCGACUUGGGUUCGAGCUUUUCAGGUUGAAGUUUCUUGACAUAAGCAUCGCAUCCCCAAACUUUUAGAAACGACAGCUUAGGUUUCUUCCCAAACCAUAAUUCAUACGGUGUCGUCUCAACGGAUUUCGACGGAGCCCUAUUUAAAGUGAAUGCGGCAGUCUCUAAAGCAUAGCCCCAAAAUGAGAGCGGUAAAUCGGUAAGAGACAUCAUAGAUCGCACCAUAUCCAAUAGAGUGCGAUUACGAUGUUCGGACACACCGUUUCGCUGAGGUGUUCCAGGCGGCGUGAGUUGUGAAAUGAUUCCACAUUUCCUUAAGUGUGUACCAAACUCGUGACUUAAAUAUUCUCCACCAUGAUCUGAUCGUAAGAACUUUAUUUUUCUGUCACGUUGAUUCUCAACCUCACUCUGAAAUUCCUUGAACUUUUCAAAGGUUUCAGACUUGUGUUUCAUUAGGUAGACAUACCCAUAUCUACUUAAGUCAUCAGUGAGAGUGAGAACAUAACGAUAUCCUCCGCGAGCCUCAACACUCAUUGGACCGCACACAUCGGUAUGUAUGAUUUCCAAUAAGUUGGUUGCUCGCUCCAUUGUUCCGGAGAACGGAGUCUUGGUCAUCUUACCCAUGAGGCAUGGUUCGCACGUGUCAAAUGAUUCGUAAUCAAGAGACUCCAAAAGUCCAUCUGCAUGGAGCUUCUUCAUGCGCUUGACACCAAUGUGACCGAGGCGGCAGUGCCACAAGUAUGUGGGACUAUCGUUAUCAACUUUACAUCUUUUGGUAUUCACACUAUGAAUAUGUGUAACAUCACGUUCGAGAUUCAUCAAGAAUAAACCAUUAACCAGCGGGGCAUGACCAUAAAACAUAUCUCUCAUAUAAAUGGAACAACCAUUAUUCUCGGAUUUAAAUGAGUAGCCAUCUCGAAUUAAACGAGAUCCAGAUACAAUGUUCAUGCUCAAAGCUGGCACUAAAUAACAAUUAUUGAGGUUUAAAACUAAUCCCGUAGGUAGAUGCAGAGGUAGCGUGCCGACGGCGAUCACAUCGACCUUGGAACCAUUCCUGACGCGCAUCGUCACCUCGUCCUUCGCCAGUCUCCGUUUAUUCCGUAGUUCCUGUUUUGAGUUACAAAUAUGAGCAACCGCACCGGUAUCAAAUACCCAGGAGCUACUACGAGUACUGGUAAGGUACACAUCAAUUACAUGUAUAUCACAUAUACCUUUGGUGUUGCCGGCCUUCUUGUCCGCUAAAUAUUUGGGGCAGUUUCGCUUCCAGUGACCACUUCCCUUGCAAUAAAAGCACUCAGUCUCAGGCUUGGGUCCAUUCCUUGGCUUCUUCCCGGCAACUGGCUUAUCGGGCGCGGCAACUCCCUUGCCGUCCUUCUUGAAGUUCUUCUUACCCUUGCCCUUCUUGAACUUAGUGGUUUUAUUCACCAUCAACACUUGAUGUUCUUUUCUGAUCUCCACCUCUGCUGAUUUCAGCAUUGAAUAUACCUCGGGAAUGGUCUUUUCCAUCCCCUGCAUAUUGAAGUUCAUCACAAAGCUCUUGUAGCUUGGUGGAAGCGACUGAAGGAUUCUGUCAAUGACCGCGUCAUCCGGGAGAUUAACUCCCAGCUGAGACAAGCGGUUGUGCAACCCAGACAUUCUGAGUAUGUGCUCACUCACAUAACUAUUCUCCUCCAUUUUACAGCUGAAGAACUUGUCGGAGACUUCAUAUCUCUCGACCCGGGCAUGAGCUUGGAAAACCAUUUUCAGCUCUUCGAACAUCUCAUAUGCUCCAUGCUUCUCAAAACGCUUUUGGAGCCCCGGUUCUAAGCUGUAAAGCAUGCCGCACUGAACGAGGGAGUAAUCAUCAGCACGUGAUUGCCAAGCGUUCAUAACGUCCUGGUUCUCUGGGAUUGGUGCUUCACCUAGCGGCCAAGGGGGUGCCUUGCCCCCCAAGGCAAGUGGGAAGCCCCCCCCACCCUAGGGUUUCUAACCCUAGGCGCAUGGGGGGAGGCCCAUGGGGGGGCGCCCAGCCCACUAGGGGCUGGUUCCCUUCCCACUUCGUCCCAAGGGGCCCUCCGGGACAGGUGGCCCCACCCGGUGGACCCCCGGGACCCUUCCGGUGGUCCCGGUACAAUACCGGUAACCCCUGAAACUUUCCCGGUGGCCGAAACUUGACUUCCUAUAUAUAAUUCUUCACCUCCGGACCAUUCCGGAACUCCUCGUGACGUCCGAGAUCUCAUCCGGGACUCCUAACAACUUUCGGGUUUCCGCAUACACAUAUCUCUACAACCCUAGCGUCACCGAACCUUAAGUGUGUAGACCCUACGGGUUCGGGAGACAUGCAGACAUGACCGAGACGCCUCUCCGGUCAAUAACCAACAGCGGGAUCUGGAUACCCAUGUUGGCUCCCACAUGUUCCACGAUGAUCUCAUCGGAUGAACCACGAUGUCGAGGAUUCAAUCAAUCCCGUAUGCAAUUCCCUUUGUCAAUCGGUAUGUUACUUGCCCGAGAUUCGAUCGUCGAUAUCCCAAUACCUUGUUCAAUCUCGUUACCGGCAAGUCUCUUUACUCGUACCGCAAUGCAUGAUCCCGUGACUAACGCCUUAGUCAAAUUGAGCUCAUUAUGAUGAUGCAUUACCGAGUGGGCCCAGAGAUACCUCUCCGUCACACGGAGUGACAAAUCCCAGUCUCGAUCCGUGCCAACCCAACAGACACUUUUAGAGAUACCUGUAGUGUACCUUUAUAGUCACCCAGUUACGUUGUGACGUGUGGUGCACCCAAAGCACUCCUACGGUAUCCGGGAGUUGCACGAUCUCAUGGUCUAAGGAAAAGAUACUUGACAUUGGAAAAGCUCUAGCAAACGAAACUACACGAUCUUUUAUGCUAUGCUUAGGAUUGGGUCUUGUCCAUCACAUCAUUAUCCUAAUGAUGGGAUCCCGUUAUCAAUGACAUCCAAUGUCCAUAGUCAGGAAACCGUGACUAUCUGUUGAUCAACGAGCUAGUCAACUAGAGGCUUACUAGGGACACGUUGUGGUCUAUGUAUUCACACAUGUAUUACGAUUUCUGGAUAAUACAAUUAUAGCAUGAACAAUAGACAAUUAUCAUGAACAAAGAAAUAUAAUAAUAACCAUUUAUUAUUGCCUCUAGGGCAUAUUUCCAACACCCACUUGGGCCUCGCCAAUGCCUCAGACGGCGAGUCGCUUUCGGCCGCAAUCUUGUGCUGCUCUCUGCAAAAGGCACAAGGAUCGUUUACAAAUAUGACUAACGUGUGCAGUCGAAUUGAUCAGAAACUAAAAUUACCAGCAGUCUCAUGAACUCCGUCGUGACCGGGUUUGUCUCGUAAACCUUCUUCACUUGGUCCCAACGGUGCCGGGCACUGAGGACAUCACGCUCCUGCGGGACGGUGAACUCCGCCAAGGGGUCUGGGAUGCCCAGACUCGCGGCUUCCACGUCCUCCUUGGCCCAUUUGGACCUCUUUCCGCCGUAACCACGGCUUCCGAGGUGGUGGCUCCCAAUGUUCCUCUCUUGAAGCCCCUUCAUGUACUUCGACUUUUUUUGGCAGCUUCGGCCUCGCAAGCCUCCUUGAAUAUUUGAAACUGCUCUUCUGUGAUUGUCGGAUUAUCCUUUACAAUCUGGGAGUAGGGUUCCUUCUUGUCGAUGAUCCUUGCUUUCACUCGACUUUUCCAGGCGGCCAACGCGUCGCUAAACUUGGUCAUGGCAUGUUUGUUUAUCUUCUUCAUUGCCGGGUCCUUAUCUGGAUCUUCAUAAUCCUUCUCAUUCUGGCCCGGGAACAAGAAUAUCUGGUGAAACUUCUUUAGGAGGGAGGGCCUCAUAUUAUCUUAUCUUCUAUAGUUUCUGACCGUUGAUGGUGGCGGUUGUCCGUACGCUGCAGCCUAUUUGAUUGCCGUAGCACGAGCGUGCUUCCUCGGGCGCCUUUGGCUCAAAAUUUCCAUCGUCCACCUCCGUGACAACCAGUCUAGUAGUCCUAAGUUUGUUAGGAAGUCAUUGCCUCUUUGCUUUCGGUUCUACACCGGCUCCGCUCCCCGAGGCAACGCCAGUCUCAGUCUCAGCGUCGGUCUCGAUGUCGGUCUGAGUCUUAGCACCGGUCUCAGUCUCAGCACCGGUCUGCGUGUCGGUCUCAGUCCCCCAUGCCACCGGUGGGCCCAGCAACAACAUCGGUUGAUCGACGGCAAGGCUCAAAAAUUCAUCUGCCGCCCGGUAGACGUCGUCGCAAUCACCAGAACCCUGUCCUUCAUCGUUGCUAGCCAUGUUUCCUAUGAUUAAAUCUAUUCAAUUAACAUAGGCCACUCAGCUUCAUUCCCUGGAAACAGUGUUCAAAUAUCCCUCUUCGACACCGCAACACAUGUCCAAAUAUACACGAGCAACCACAUUUUCAAAUUUCACAAGCUAAUUCAAAAACAAAGUGUAGAAGAAAAUUCAUUUAACUACUAAUAGAACAAAAUUCAGUUAACUUUAGUGCUCUAUAAUGAUGAAAGGAAAAAAAAAAUUAGUUAACUACUAAUUUCAUUCAUUUAACUUCACCUAAUUAUUCUACUGUACCACUACUACUAGCAGCACUACUAACCUAAUUAACCUAGCAAAACUCUACUGCCCUAACUGAAAAACAUCUAAUUAACAUCUGCUAGUACCACUACUGCCCUAACCUAAUUAACAUCUACUGGUAUCACUAUAUACUACAAGCAGCAUAUACCCUAAUUAAACCCUACUGCCGUAACUAACUUUUGCUGUAAACCAAAUUUUUUGCUCUAAACUAAUUUUUGCUCUAACAUCUAGUACUUAACAUCCUUUGCUCUAAACUAAAUUUUUUGCUAUAAACUAACUUUUUCUCUACUAAUUUUUGCUCUAAAAUNNNNNNNNNNNNNNNNNNNNNNNNNNNNNNNNNNNNNNNNNNNNNNNNNNNNNNNNNNNNNNNNNNNNNNNNNNNNNNNNNNNNNNNNNNNNNNNNNNNNNNNNNNNNNNNNNNNNNNNNNNNNNNNNNNNNNNNNNNNNNNNNNNNNNNNNNNNNNNNNNNNNNNNNNNNNNNNNNNNNNNNNNNNNNNNNNNNNNNNNNNNNNNNNNNNNNNNNNNNNNNNNNNNNNNNNNNNNNNNNNNNNNNNNNNNNNNNNNNNNNNNNNNNNNNNNNNNNNNNNNNNNNNNNNNNNNNNNNNNNNNNNNNNNNNNNNNNNNNNNNNNNNNNNNNNNNNNNNNNNNNNNNNNNNNNNNNNNNNNNNNNNNNNNNNNNNNNNNNNNNNNNNNNNNNNNNNNNNNNNNNNNNNGGGCAACGGCGGUCCUAGGCGGGCUCGGGCGACGGUGAGGUGGGGGCGGCGACGUUGAGGUCGAGGGCGGCCUCGGGCGGCGGCGGUGAGGCUGAGGGCGGCCUCGGGCGGCAGCGGUGAGGAUGACGGCGGCCUCGGGGGGAGACGGUAAGGUUGCGGGCGUCCACGCCGGCAGGAAACGGCGGCGAAGUGGGGCGACGGCGAAUUGGAGAGAAGGCGGCGAGGGCGAGGGAUUUGGGGAAGAAGUGGUGGCCGGGGGGAGGGAAACCGCUGUUUAAGUGGAACGUAACGGUAGCGCAUUCUUGAAAACGCGCUAUAGCUAAGUUAGCUACAACGCGUUUCCUGAAACACGCUACUGCUAUUCCUUUCUCCUUUUUCCCCUUUUUUCAUUUAUUUUUCUUUACAUUUUAUUUUUUUCCUUUCUCCUUUUUCUAUUUCUUUCAUUUUCAUUUACUUUUCUACUUGUUUUUCAUUUUAUUUUAUUUUGGUUAGCAGUAGCGCCUUACACAUAAACGCGUUGCUACAACAAAAUUAGCGGCAGCGCUGUUUCUGAAAGAGCGCUACUACUAUGUGUAGCCGAUUGGCUUAGUGGUGGGAAUUUUUGUAGUAGCGUUGUUACAGCGGGACGCGCUACUGCUAUAUAUGUAUCUGCAGCGCGGUUAUUCCGCCCGCGCUACUGCUGUCUAGCAGUAGCGCCUUUUUUAACAUACGCUACUGCUAAAGUUCUGUGUAUAGGAUUUUCCCUAGAAGUGUGUGUCCACGACAGAAGUGGCUGAGGCGACAGUUCAUAAUGAUAUGCCAUCUACAGGUGAGAGUCUUGCACAACAGCUCCAGCUCCUGGUGGUGCAGAGGUUGCUAAGGCGACUGUUUCGCGAGUUGGUCUUCCACCUAGGCGUCGUAGCCCCCGCAAGCAAUCAACAGACAUACCCAACGCACCGGCUAUAGCUAGGAGCAGUAGAGAUGAGUCUGGUUAUGUUCCUGUGUCCACACUGUUCCCACCACCUGCCAAAAGCAAUGUUAUGGAGAAACCGGAAGACCGUGGUACAACUGAUGCAGGUGUCAAGCCGGGCACGAGUGAUGGAGGUAAACGUCGGGAGCAAACUGCGUGUUUACCCGCAGUGGAGAACCCCAGCCUAAAUCUGCGCACUUCCAAGCUCCCAGUCAAUGUUGGUGUCCCCUACAGCCCAAACAAGAAGAUUGUCAAGAAAGCUGCGGCUGAUACCGCUGACAACACGCCCCGCCCUACGAAUAAGCCCGAUGAUUCUGCAGCGGCCGAUUCAGAUAUGUUUGUUGAUCUCUCACCCUUGGAUUGUGCCCCGCAAGUUGUUUGCGGUCCGGCCAGUAGGCAUGAGAGGCACCCAAUGGCCUUCACCCCACCGAGCUUUAGCCUUGGCAUCAGUCAAGAUCAACCAGUGGUGCAAGAUCCUACGCCAGUUGCCUUUGCUUUCCCAGGAGGCAUGGCCGCAAUGAUGGCACAACCAAUGGUCGAGGGCAGGAAGGCUGUCAAGUUCGCAGAACCGAUCGUCCAAGGUACAUUUCUUCUGCGCUUAUCAUUUUCUUGUAUACAUCUAUGUAGUCUGACUUUUGUCCCAAUCAAUUUUUCUGGGGUUCUCACCUGUGAUGGCAACUGUUAUGUGAUGACAUGGCAACUGGAUUUGCUGCACCAUGUCACCUACAUUUUUGUUGCCAUGCUGUAUUUUCCAUUCGGCAACCACAUGGCAACUGAAGUUGAUACAACAUGGCAAUUGUACUUGUUCUCACAUGGCAACUACAAUGCACUACACAUGGCAACUGGAUUUGCUGCAGCAUGUCACCUGCAUUUUUGUUUCCAUGCUGUAUUUUUGAUUCGGCAACCACAUGGCAACUGGAGUUGACACAACAUGGCAACUGCAGUUGCUUUCACAUGGCAAUUACAGUGCCAUACACAUGGCAACUGGACUUGCCUCCACAUGGCAACUCCCUACUUUUUGUACCUACAUUUCAUAUCAUGCACCUUUUUAUUUUCACACUACAUUUGUUUUGUUUUCCAGGUAUCCUAACCCACUUUUUGAUCCUUGCAGGAACCCCUGAGGAGAUUUUGCCAUCACUUGAUGAAGUUUACCGCAGGAUUGAGGAGGCAACAUUGCAGAGGAGGUCCUCACGAGGUCAGGGGCAAUCAAGUUCCAACGUGCCUGCUGAGACGGUAUCUGAGGAUACCAUUAGAAGUGCCACCCCUAGUUCUGUGAGGCAGCAGAGGGUAGUUCACCCACCUCCCGCGGAUGACUACAAGCCCGAAGUCAAGGCCACAAAGGAGCAGAACCAGCUGUACGAUAUUGUCAAGCGAUUUGGAAAUGCGAGGGCCAGCAGCAAGCACAUGAAGGAGCUGAAAGCGUAAUGACCACACCACAUAACCUCUCAUUUUGCUUUGCUCUUUUUACCAUUCAUCUUUUUUCUACUUUCUAGAUAUGAUCCGUUUACGUUUUAUCUCUUCUUUUUUUACUUAGUAGACAUGAUUCUUUCAUGUUAUAUCAUUUUCAUACAGCUCAUGUUUGGACAGAACCAAGGUCAUACCAUGCGAAGCGACGUACGUCGACCUGGGUGAUCCUGCCGAGUCCGUGAGGCCACUCAGUAAAAUGUCGACGAAUGUAGUUGCAUGUGGGAUUGACUUCGUCAACAAGCAUAUGGAUAUGUCUCACGGCAAAACAAUCAUGCAUUACAGUGUGACCUGCAAAAUAUGGGAUGGUGACUUCCACCACAAAAUCCCGAGGAAGCAUUUUGCUGCGCACGGUGAAUUCAAGCUCACAAUGAAGAAAUGUGUGAGUACUCCUUCCCUUUUUGCACAUUAUUUCCUCCCAUGGUAUGUUUUUUGCCAGUAGCUACACCCUGUUUAUGUGGCAGCUGUUUCAUGUGGCAACAGCUGCCAUGUAAACUGACUUUUGAUUUGCAUCCCCGUACAAACUAUGUGUCAACUUCAAAGUAAAAUACAGGGCAACUUUGUUCAUACAUGGAUGGCAACUUCCUAUAAGUACCCACUAUAACUAAACAUUUCUAUGUGAUUCUACUUUUUGGCCCCUUGCUGCUUUAUGUCACUCAUGUGCCUCUUACCGCAACCGGUGAUAUCCUUACACGUCAUUUUCCCAAUUACACCAUUUUAUGUUCUUCAUGUGAACUCUGCUUCUUCUUUCCUUCAUUUUACUUGCAGGUCCUGUUCCCCAUGUUCCAGGAGCUUGCACCACAUGACCCGCACGACAAGUGUGGUCACCACUACGCGGUCUGCCUUGACCUGAAGAACCAACGUUUUGAGGUGCUUGAUUCAAUGCGUUCGGCAGCUGAUGCAGACCUUACUACGCAUGGUGAAUACUUCAUCAACAACCUCAAAGAGACAUGGAACCGUCACUACGAACACUCAAAGGUCCAGAUCAGACAUUUUCCAAUUGAGUACGUGGCGACUACGAAGCAAGGGAACAAGUAAUUUCCCAUCUCUUUCUUCAUCUGCCCUCUACACCAAUGCUAACCCUCUUUGUUACAUUUGAAUUGAAGUUUAUCAUUGUUAUCUCUGUCCUUUGCGAGUUCACCUGAUUCUUUUCUUGUACAGGACGGACUGUGGCUUUCACACGUUGGAAUACCUUGCAAAGUGGGAAGGUAGACUGGUUCCUGUUGUCACAGCUGCAAUGGUCGUUGAGCUUCGGAAAACUUACACAUGGAACUGGUUGACGAAUGAAGAUUUCAACAAGCGGUCCGGAGCACGUGAGUUCGUAGAGGAAGCUGUCAACAAAGUCACCAAGAAGUACAAGUGAUCACGUGGGGCUCUAUACUGAACGCCUACCUUACAUUCUGUUGCCGAGGAAUGUAAGGUACUACCUUUGUUCUUUUCAAAACUAUGUCCGUGUGCUAUAUUAUGACUGCAACCCCGCGUAGCCUAGUAUGUAGUGGUGGUGUGUGGGUGACAUUUGAAUAUUUUCUGUAAAUAUAUGUGUGGACGUGAACCUAUUUAGGCGUGACAGCAGAUACAUUUAUGUUUAUCAUUAUUAUUAUGCUUUCAUCGUUGGUAGCACCAGUUUGGUGUUUUGAAUGCGUCUACGAUGUUUUAAAACAUGGCAAAUGUAGUUCAUCAGACAUGGUUAGUGAAAAUUAUCGUCGUUUUUCAUUUGUCUGUUUGGUUCUUUUUUUUCAUCGCUAACUGUACCGGCUAGCAUGGUAGUUUGAUCAUGUAGCCGUAACCUUUUUGCGGUUGCUGCACGUGACGCUUUUCAACUUGUUUCCCAUAGAUUGCACACAACACACUAUGUGUGACUAAAAUGCGUUGAAUGAACACGGAGAUAUACGCGAUGCAUAGUCAUUACAAAUAACAUGGCAUAUUUCAGUAGAACUAACAUGGCAGAUUCAGUAUAAACAACACAGCAGAUUCAGUAUAAAUAACAUGGCAGAUCCAGUAUACUUAACAUGGCAGAUCCAGUAUACAUAACAUGGCAGAUCCAGUACACAGAACAUGGCAGGUUCAGUAUAAAAUAUCAUGGCAGAUUUAGUAUAAAAUAGCAUGGCAGAUUCAGUAUAAAAUAGCAUGGCAGAUUAACUAUACAUAACAUGGCAGAUUAAGGAUACAUAACAUGGCAAAUUAAGUACCAUACACGUGGCAACUGCAGUUAUCCAUUCAUGGAAUUUUCCUUCAACUUCUGAUGCCCCUCAAGAGUCAUUCUCCCAUUUCUAAAAAAUUUAGAACAUCUAGAUUAUAAAAUAAAAUUUCACCAAGGACCAUGUCACAGUGCUCCAAUGUUGCUUACAGAUUGCUUGUCCCUUUCUUUGUUUUCUUGUGUUUUGCUUGAAUCUCCAAUCCCGAUUUGUAUCUUAUCUCUUUUGGACGCCCCUUUGUGAUGGAACGGGGCGGGUUCCCGACCUCGGUUUGUGUGCUUGCUGUUCCAGAUCCUAUCUCCGAGUUUUCAGAUGAUGGCCCCGUGGAUGAAGGCACACUUGAUGUGCGGGGGAACCUGUGUAAGGCUUCCUCAGCUUUCCUCUUCUUGAUCUCAUCAAGCUCUCUUUUCAGGGCCUUCCUGUGUUUUUUUACGACCCUCACUGUCUCAUCACUCUUGCACGCUUCAUCAAUUAGUUCAGCAUAGUUCUUUGUCAACACAACGUGCCUCACAGCUUCCAUGGUUGACUCCGGUCUCUCAUCAUGCACAGCCAAAACUGCGUUUGUUGUCUGUGGCGCCAAUGCGUCGUCAGCGUCCCAAGUCCAUCGCCGCCUUAUGAAAUGGCGGGGCAUACGUGUCACCGCGUUCAUGUCCAUUACUUUUAGUAUGUGACAGCACACAAUGCCGCCCCGUUCGAAUUUGCAGCAUUGGCAGUAGUAUUCGCCUUGGCAUAUUGAGGCUUUCACGAAGUAGUUCCUUCCUUUGUCCCGGUCUUCACGUUCUGAAUCUGACAUGCCCAAAAUAGAACAUUGAACGUAUGUUCGUCCACCUGGAAAGCCGUGAACAUGCUGGCACGCUUUAUUUCUUCCUGGAAUCUGCAUGUUUUGUGUGUUUUUUGUUGAACUAUUGUGUGCUGUUUUUUGUAGCACCUUAUGUUGUCGUGGCAAAUAGAAGUACAUUUCGUUUGAACAUGGCAAAUAUAGUACAUUAAACAUGGCAACUGUAGUACAUUAAACAUGGCAACUGCAGUACAUUAAACAUGGCAAUUGCAGUUCAGUAAACAUGGCAACUGCAGUUCAUUAAACAUGGCAACUGCAGUUCAUUAAACAUGGCAACUGCAUAACAUUUUCAAUUGGCAUUGGCACACCCUUCACUGGCUAGCUCUAGCUUUGCAAGCGCGAAGAAAUGUAUGCAUGCCCCAUCCAUGCAUGCGCAUGAAUAAGUUUUUAGUAAUUGAUGAAUAAAUCCUGGCAUGUCGAGCAUCAGCAUGGCAUGGAUUUGUGUAACUUUUCGUUUCGUCUACCUUUUUUUGAGAGAGAAUCGUUUCAUCUACUUAUGUCUACGUUGUUUGUGCUUUGGACUAGUUCCUGUUUGAAAGAGUACUAGGUUUGUAUCUAAGUACUCAUUAUCCACAAAUUAGAGAAUGGCAUGCGCUACCUAGUCCUUCCACGUGGCAGUCCAUUUGGUAUCCUCUUUGAAACAACUUUGUUGCUGUACGAACCAUGCAUGUGUUCAUGUUCCAUUUGAUUCUUCCAAACAUGCAGACCACCAUAUAUACAUGGAUGACAGUCAGUUCCAAAUUUUUCAUCAUCAUCAUCAUCAUCAGUGAGUUUUAGUUGCCUGCAGUAUUUUAUCACUGAAACCAUUUAGAUUGAAUAUCAGUUUUUACUGUUAGUCUCAUGCGACCGGAUCUUCAUCGCUACGAAGUUGCUAGUGGUGAACGAUCUCGUUUUAGACACUUAGUCACCUGGUGAUAAAACUGUGAGAUUGUAUCGAAGCGUCUCAAUGCCCAUACACAGGCACCCGCAUGGUAUAUAUUGAUAUUGUGGUUUGUGGUACAAGAAAGGGUUGUUGGGAUCAACCGCAUGAGAGAAUACAGGAGGUUUAAGAUAGAGAUAACAAGAAUAAGAAAGAGAUCACAACUAUCUCUAGUUACAACUGAACCUGCGUAUAGCCUCCUGUACCUAUACGUUUAACACCCUCCCAUAAUCAUAACUUGACCAAGUUAAGAUUACGCUUGAAUUCUUCAAAUGGCCUUGUUGGUAGUGCUUUUGUAAAACCAUCUGCAACUUGAUCCUUUGAAUGCACAAACCGUAUCUCUAAUUAUUUGCUUGCAAAUCUUUCCCUAACAAAAUGAUAGUCAAUCUCAAUGUGUUUAGUCCGUGCAUGAAAAACAGGAUUAACUGAAAGAUAUGUUGCACCAAGGUUGUCACACCAAAGACAUGGAGUUGGAGAACAAUAUAUCCCAAGUUCCUUAAGCAUGGACUUAACCUAUAUAACUUAUGCCGUUGCAUUUGCCAAUGCUUUAUACUCUGCUUCAGUACUUGACCUGGACACUGUAGCUUGUUUUCUUGCACACCAUGAAAUUACAUUUGGUCCAAGGAAUAUGGCAGACCCUCAUGUAGACCCUCUAUCAUCCACACAGCCUGCCCAAUGAGAGUCAGAGAAAGCACUAACCAAUGUGGAUGAUGAUUUACUAAAAGUCAAGCCAAGCCCUAAAGUGCCCUUUACAUAUCUCGGUAUGCGCUUGGCAGUUGUCCAAUGUGAUGUUGUAGGUGCAUGAAGGAAUUGAUGAACUUUGUUUACAGCAAAGCAAAUAUCAGGCCGAGUCAAAGUCAAAUACUGAAGUGCACCAACUAAACUUCUGUACCUGGUGCCAUCCUCUUGAUCCAGGAGUGCUCCUUAUGCAAGAGAUAAUUUUUCUGUGCUAGGUAAUGGAGUAGAUGAUGAUUUACAUCCAUGCAAGCCAGCUCUAUUUAAAAGAUCUGUUGCAUAUUUUUCUUGAGACAGAUGAAGACCACCUUCCCUGUUUCUCUGAACUUCUAUGCCGAGAAAGAAAUGCAAAUCUCCCAAGUCCUUAAGAGCAAACUCUGAGUUCAAAUCCUUCAACAAGUCUGGCACUGCUUCAUUUGAUGAACUUGUAACAAUGAUAUCAUCAACAUAAAUAAGCACAAAAACAGAUGUCUUUGACUUAUUAUAAAUAAACAGAGAUGUGUCAAAUUUCGAAGGAGCAAAACUAAGUGCUUGUAGCUUUGAACCCAACCGAGAGUACCAUGCCCUAGGGGCCUCUUUCACCCCAUAAAGAGACUUAUCCAGCCUGCAUAUAUGAAAGGGUUUGUUUUUAUCCUCAAAACCAGGGGGUUGCUUCAUGUAAACUUCCUCUUCCAGAACACCAUGAAGAAACACAUUCUGCACAUCUAGCUGUCCGAGACACCAUCCUUUGGAUACGGCAAUGGACAAAACAAGGCCUAUAGUAGCAGCUUUAACAACAGGACUGAAUGUAUCUUCAUAGUCUAUGCCACACUUCUGUUUGAAUCCCUUUGCAACAAGUCUAGCCUUAUACCUGUCUAUAGUACCAUCUGACUUUUUCUUUAUUCUGAAUACCCAUUUGCAAUCAAUCAAAAUUUUACCUUGUUGUGAAGGAACUAGAUGCCAGGUUUUAUUUUCCUGAAGUGCUUGAAACUCUUCUUCCAUAGCUUUUCUCCACCUUGCAUCCUUGCAUGCUUCCUGGAACGAACUAGGUUCUCCUGUGGAGCAGGUUAAGCCAAACUUUACUUUAUAAUUGACAGGUUGGAUUACACCAGCUCGUAACCUUGUACGUGGCGGAGUUAUAACUUGCUGCACCACUGCACCCGAAAUUGGCGCAGAAGAUCCUGAAGACUAGUCCGCUAUAGGAGUUCCCGGCAAUCCCGGAGCAGAUUCGCUGCUGGUGGCAGCUGCGGGAUCCUCUGCGGCCGAGCCAGGGCAUGACGUGGAGGCGUGCGGCACAGAAGAUCCGGGUACUCCAGUUGCUGAGCCCGACCCGUGCGCCUCCGUAUCCACCUGUGGAUCCGUGCCUGCACGGGACUAGUGGAUGGCGCGCCUGGCGUAGACACGCGGGGUCGCACCGAAUCGGUCGGCUGAUCUGUCCUCACAAGGCGACAUCGUGCGCGUGUGGACAGGCGGGUCCACGCCCUGACGCGUGUCAGGCGCAGAUGGGUGGAGCAUCGUUCCCGUGCUGACGCCACCAUCCGUGCGCGCCUGCUGCCGCGGCAUCGAUCCCGGAGCGGAUGUUGGCGGGUCUGCGGCCGCCGAUCCCGAGGAAGAUCGGGGUGCAGGGUUGGCAUGUAGCGGCCACAAGAAAUUUAGGCUGUUUGGACUAUUUGCUUCACCGUUUUGUCUCAAAAAAAAUUCCUGCUGCAUCCUGAGUCGACCCUGCAUCAUCAAAAUCAUCAUUUUCAUGGUUAGAAGCAUUAGUCAUACGAUCAGUACAAUUGUCAUCCCCAUGCUGAAAAUCAAAUGAGAGGGUAAAAGAAGGAUUUCUUUUCGGAGCAAGGCACCAGCAUUAGGGUGUAAAUGAGCAAAAGGGAAGACAGUUUCAUCAAAAACAACAUCAUGUGAGAUGUAUACUCGACCAGUGGGAACAUCUAAGCAUUUAACGCCCUUGUGCUUUCACUAUAGCCGAGAAAAACACAUUGUUUGGAGCGGAACAUGAGUUUGCGGUUGUUGUAGGGACGCAGGUUAGGCCAACAAGCACAACAGAACACACGAAGAGAGUGAUAAUCUGGUCGAGUAUGAAGGAGCCUAUGCAUGGGUAUAUCAUUGUUGAUGACUCGACUUGGAAGCAUGUUAAUGAGAUGGACUGCCGUAAGGAAGGCCUCAUCCCAAAACUUGAGAGGCAUGGAAGCGCCAACAAGUAGGGCUAGACCUACUUCAACAACAUGUCGAUGUUUGUGCUCAGCUGAGCCAUUCUGUUGAUGUGCAUGGGGACAUGAUACAUGAUGAGAAAUACCCAAGGUUUGAAAAAACAAAUCUAGUUUCUCAUACUCACCGCCCCAAUCAGAUUGGACGGCGAAAUUUUUUGUAUCAAAUUGGCGUUCAACAAGUGCUUGAAAAUUUUGAAAAACUUGGAAAACGUCAGAACGUUUUUUAAGAAGAUAAAUCCAAGUAUACUUACUAAAAUCAUCUAUGAAGCUAACAUAGUAAGUAUGACGUCCAACAGACAUAGGGGCAGGACCCCAAACAUCAGAAAAUACAAGUUGCAAUGAUCUCGUAGAAACACUAGUAGAAUUUGGAUAUGGUAGCUGAUGAUAUUUUGCUUUCUGACAAGAAUCACAUAUAGUUUCAAGACUAAGCUCACCAACACAUGGGAGCCGAUUAUUUCUAAGCACUUGUUGAACGAUAACAAAAGAUGGAUGUCCUAAUCUUGCAUGCCACCGCUCCGAGGAGAGUUUGAUGACACCAAAAACUUGUUUGUUGAAGCUUGUGAAUUGGGGAAUCAAUGGAUAGAGCCCAUGCACGCAUCUACCUCUGUAGAGAAUGUUCCUCGUGACCUAAUCUCGAAUCAAAAAGAAAUAUGGGUGAAAUUCUAGAAACACUUUGUUGUCAAGGGCAAUACGAUGAACAGAAAGAAUGUUUUUUGCUGUUUCGGGAACGUGCAAGAUAUUUCUAAGAUGGAUAUUACGACUAGGGGUUUUGACAAUUGCAUGACCAAUAUGAUCAAUCUCCAUACCUUCACCAUUGGCAUUGUAAACUUGAUCUUGGCCAUGGUACUUCUCGCGAUCGUCACCUUCUCAAGCUCGUUGGUGAUGCGGUUGGUAGCCCCAGAGUCGACGUACCAGUUUGUGUCAACUCCGUACGACGUGUCCGUUGCUGCUGCUGCAACUUUCUUUCUGUUGGAGUUGCUCUCGGCAUAGUGCCAAUCACAAUCCUUGGCGAUGUGGUUAUCUUUCUUGCAAAUCUGACACUUAUUUUCAUACUCCUCAUACCCUUGGAAGGGACGCCCCCUGAUGUUGUUGUACUAGGGGCGUCUAUUGUUGCCGCCGUUGUUCUGGUAGUGACCACUGCCACCACCGCCGCCAGCGUUCUGGUAGUGGCCGCCACCACCACCGCCGCCGCUGUUGUAGUUGUUGUAGCCGCCACUGCCGCCACCGGCGUUGGAGUUUUUGUAGUGACCGCCGCCGCCGUUGUUGCCGCCGCCGUUCUGAUAAGGGCCGCCGCCGCCACCACGAGAUCCACCACCACCACUCCUGUUGGAGUUGUGGUAGCGGCUGGAGUUGUUGUUGCCACGACCUCGGGAUGCAGCAUUAGCCGUGGAUUUGAAGGCGCCUGCCCCUGUCCCGUGGAACAUCUCAACGCGCUGGUCGAAGUUUGAAACCAUGACGAAGAGAUCAUCCACCGAGAGGGGAGUGGUGCGUAUGUCCAACGCCGAGAUCAGGUGUUGGUAGUCCAUGUCGAGCCCUGUAAUGAUGAAAGAAAGAAGAUCUCGUUUGAGAGUGCUCUCAUCUGCCCAAAGUAUGCGGAUGCGCUCAAGGAGCCUUUUUGUGCAUUGGUGAGGGAGAUGCGGCAGUUGUUCACACGAGAACGGGAUUGGGCAGCGAACAUGUUUGCUAGGGCUGACCAUAUGGCAUGCGAGGUUUCUAGAGAGGCGACUUGGAUCAGGACCUCCUUCGAGAGAUUGCGAAGGAGGAAGGCUAUAAUCUGCUGAUCUUGAAUCAGCCAUGGUUUGUAUUCAGGGUUAGGAAUGAUUUGCUCCUUUCCUUCUGAGGUCUUGGUGACUAUGGUGUUGUUUGGCUCGGGUGUGGUUUGAUCUAUGUACCCAUAUAGCCCGACACCCAUGAUCUGGGAGCGAGCUUGGGUUCUCCAUAGGAUGUAGUUGGUUCUUGUGAGAGGCUCGGAUGUGGUGCUAGUAAGGGCAUUGGAUGGAACUUGGCUGGAGGUAGACAUGGUUCGGUUUGGUGGAGGAGAAGGUAGGAGCUCGGGAUAUCAGCGGGAGGAAGGAAGGUAGUCGAGGCUAGAUGUGGCGGAAGAGGGAGGCUCUGAUACCAUGUGAGAUUGUAUCGAAGCGUCUCAAUGCCCAUACACAGGCACCCGCAUGGUAUAUAUUGAUAUUGUGGUUUGUGGUACAAGAAAGGGUUGUUGGGAUCAACCGCAUGAGAGAAUAUAGGAGGUUUAAAACAAGAAUAAGAAAGAGACCACAACUAUCUCUAAUUACAAUUGAACCUGCGCAUAGCCUCCUAUACCUAUACGUUUAACAAAAACAUCGAUCCCACACUUCUAAUGAAGCCGCACAUAAUAUUAUUUCCAUGUUCUAUGGUCAUCUCCUAUUUCCUGAUUGCACUGGACAACUCAUCUCUGGACUUGCAUAGCAACUCCUAAAAAAUGAAGUACUUGAUGGGGGCUCGUACGUCACUAAAAAGAUUUCACAAAGAUGUAUAUUGUCACUAGAUACACAUUCUUGCUAUGGAAUUCUUAAAACACACACAUAUCACGUGCUUGUCUCGCCUCUUCUCGAGACCUUCCUUUGUUGCAAGAAAACACACAAUUUGAAGAUCCCGUUGGUGGCAAGUUGAAGAUGGAUCCGCUCACAGACAAGUUUAUUUGUAAUAGUCCGAAUUGUCCAAUAUACAUCCCUGAAGCCCCACCCAAUAUAUCACACGAGCACAACCAGAGGUGGCCAGGAUAAUCUCGCCGAAGUCAGGGAAGUAAUUAGCACGUCAUCAACUGUAACUCACCACUUCCCAAAGGUAUCUCCAAAGGAACUGGGUGUGACACAAUAGAAGAAAAUGUGGUUAAUAUCUCUGUGAACAUCACACAACGGGUGAUCUCCAAGGCCGCUGCACUUCCUCGACGUCGGAUGUCAGAUCUCCCCUAAAAAGGAGGCACGUAUGGUAUAAUACAAGUUCGCCGCCGCAAAAAAACACAUGUUCAGUAAAAAUAUAUUAAUCAUUUGGGUUGUUUUGUGUCCAUUUGAGUGCGGACAAGAAUGUCUAUGAAACACAGAUCAAAAGCAAAAUACCAUGGCAUGUCUAAAGAGAGCUCUUACAAGGAACUGUUUGGGUGUGAAAAUUCAUCCUAAGGGCCAGUCUGGAACCAAUGAUUUUUUUUUCCAGCAAUGCUUGAUCUACGUUAUACUACCUCCAUAGACGUUGGGGCAGUUUAAAUUAAAUUGUCUCAAAGUCUUAUAUUUAGGAAUGGAAGAAGUAUAAUUUACGUGUUUAACGCGCAGUCCUACCAGGGGGUAGGAUUGGAUGACUUAGGGGAGGAAGGGGCCCACCCUCGUAAUAUUCGGGGAGGGGGGUGAUAAUUAAUUGUGAGCAUUAUGUAGAGUUUUUGUGAAACAUACCUAGAUGUAGGUUUUUUUUAUUCACCAGCUCCCCUCGGCCAAUCUNNNNNNNNNNNNNNNNNNNNNNNNNNNNNNNNNNNNNNNNNNNNNNNNNNNNNNNNNNNNNNNNNNNNNNNNNNNNNNNNNNNNNNNNNNNNNNNNNNNNNNNNNNNNNNNNNNNNNNNNNNNNNNNNNNNNNNNNNNNNNNNNNNNNNNNNNNNNNNNNNNNNNNNNNNNNNNNNNNNNNNNNNNNNNNNNNNNNNNNNNNNNNNNNNNNNNNNNNNNNNNNNNNNNNNNNNNNNNNNNNNNNGAGCAUCCAUUCGAUAUCCAUCCAAUGGCCCAUGUUUAAUUUUUUAUUUUUGCAACUUAGGAGCUGCUUUUAUGGUAGUCAUCCCCGCUUAUCUGCGUUUUGAGUUACUCCCUUGUCCGGUUUUCUUAUGCCCCAUUGCAAUUAUUGUCAAACUUUGACCAUAAAAUGAACUAAUAAAAUAUAAACUAUAUGUGCCAAAACUAUAUACAGCUGCUCGUAUGGAUUCAAUGCACAAGAACUACAUGCAUCUGCUGGCGUUCUGUUCUUUUUUGCAAGUUCGUCGUUUCCAAUCUACGAAGUUCUUACUAACACUCAAGUAUCUAUAUCGGAUUUUUGUUCAAAUUAAGGACCAAUCUCAGCAGUCGAAAAUAUGCACACAUGGAGAAAGGGGUCGAGACGGACGAUGAGAUAUCAAAUGCACAAGAUCGAUGUUACAGAGGUGGAAUUGCCUCAUACAUCAGCAGCGCUACGAGCGAAGUGGAGAAACCAUCGGCGGUGUGGCGGCCGAGCAUCAGGAAGAUAGUUAGACCUGCGAAGAGGAUGAUUGCUGCGCUGAAGGAAGGGCAGGUCGGCAGUUGAGACGGAUACGAGGAAGAUCACUUGACGGCGUUCCAAGGGGAGAGCCGCGUGAUUGUAUCAAAGGAUUUUUUUUUCAUCGUCAACGAAAUAGACUGGAAGAUUUAUUUUGGGAAAAUUUUAUAGCAACACAAAAGGUCCAUAAUACCGCUUAGAAUCGAUGGUUGGAUUUAAUUGGUACUCCCUGUUCUAUUUUGGAGUACCAGGGUACCGUAAAAGAGCUCAUUCAGAAAAGGGCAAGACAACUGUGAAUUUGACUUGGGGCGACACAGGGUGACGGUUAUUCUUUCAAGUUUUACACAGGCGGUCAAGGAUAGCUAGGAUAUUGAGUUCAUCUAACUCAUAUAUGUCACGUCCAAUAUGUGAGUUGUUCACUUUGACACAGAUCAGUGAAGAAGCUACCAUCGUGAAUAUACAACGGUGUUGUCAAAUAAGGUGACACUAUGGAAGGUGUGUGAUGGCAUUGAAUGGAUACUCUGGAAGUUUGGAGCGCAAACUAGAGUAAAUAGUAACUUAAUUGUCCUUGAGUGUUGACCGUGAAGAAGAAAGAGGGAACUACAGUUGCAGGUGGAGCCACAUGGAGUUUGGGAGUAGCAGCGGUGCUCAUGGCUUAACUGAAGUCCAAUGUACAUGGGGGUUUGACGCAUGGAUGAAUCUAAGGUGAUGAACAAUAUUCGCAAGGGUAGAGUUUGUUAGAGUUUUAUCGAAUAUUUUGUACAAGGUAGGUUACACUUGGACUUGGAGUCGUAUAGUUUGUAGAUAUGAUAUGGUGUACUGUCCUAGUAGGACUCUUGUAUCCUAAGCCUAUUAUAUAAUGAGAGGGUAGAUACACGAUGUAACCUAUGCCAACAUAAUAGCAUAAAAAAGUUGGGAGAGUUGGUGGCGUGUGCCGGCGCCCGGGCGACCAGAGUGUGGUAUUGUGGUGGUGUCACAGGAUGAGUGCCGGUAGUCAUGCCCCUGAUGUAGCCAUGUUCGUGAGCCUCAUUAACGAUCUCAGUGUCAUGCCUCGUGUGAUUGUUUGGUCCUCGAACGAUCGAUGAUGUGCCUCAGAUUAUUCUAACAUAUUUGACACAAGGAUUGGAUCCAUAAGCAAGAAAUGUCAGAGUAUGAUGCAUAUUGUCUAAGCUUCAUGGACCGAAAGAUAAUAACAUAGGAGAUAGUGAGUGGUGCAGGUUUAGACGUGAUUGACAUGGAAUAUAUCUCCUAACAUUGACAACGGUUAGAUAAGAGAUUGUGUUGUAAUUGAGACCGUUGUCACAAAUCAUGUGUCGUCAGGUGUUACUGAUAUCAGAUAUGGCACAAGUUCGUGUUAGGCCUCCUCCCCGGGGUUCAUUGGGCAGAUGAAGCAGCACUUUGAGCGAAAACUAUGAGUCGACAAGUGUCUACGCCACCAUUGACGGUGCUUGUGGGGCGUCUUGUCCUCCUUGAAAGCAUCAUCAAAAUAGUUUGUUUGAUUUUCUUUGUCGGAUAAUGGUCAUCUGGAUAUGAGGGGACACACCAAUGGUAAGAUAGGUCAGACCUUCCCAUGGGCUCAUUGAGGCGGUGAUGUGCAAUUCUCUAAGCGAAAUACUUGAGUCCAAGGUGUUUCCGGUGAUAGUGGCAUCCAUAGUUGUCAUUUUCUUCAUGGAAUAGUCACCAAAGAGCUCACACCCUACCCAUGGUCGAUGGAUGUGCUUGGUGGUGGAGGCCAACUUCUUGGGUAGUUGUUUUUCUCUUUGGGGACGCGGGUCCUGGCAAAAGGUGGGGAGUACUAGGAUACCAACAUCGUUGCUUGUUUGCCCUUGCAUAAGCUCUCAUUUUACUAGGUGGCUCUCCUACUUUUAUGGUUUUGACUGUUAUCUUUCAUAACCGUGUUUUUCAAGUUCCACAUUCUGGUUUUCCACAAAGCUAUUUCAAUUCUACAUUCUCAAAUACUCCCUCCGUUCCUAAAUAUAAGUCCUUUUAGAGAUUCCAAUAAGGAACUACAUACGAAGCAAAAUGAGUGAAACUACACUCUAAAAUAUGCCUAUAUACAUCCCAUGUAGUCCUUAUUGAAAUCUCUAAAGGACUAAUAUUUAGAACGGAUGGAGUAUAUGGUAUCCAUAUGUGAACAGAUAUAUGACACCAAGCACACUUACAUACAAACCAUAAUCAUAUUACGCGCUCUCUGACUUAUUCUAUUAUCCAUUCACUUACCAUGCAUCAACUCUUAUUGUAUAUGAUCUAUAUAUCUCAAUCUUGCUAUAUCCAAGAAGAGAUUAGAAAGCUACAAUACAUAUAUGCCAGGAGCAGGCUAGCUCUUAAGCUUGCUAGCCGACCCUGGGGACCUGCGCAAUUUUGUCGAGACUGUCAACAAAGAGGCGGACACGGUCGAUUCGAUAUUCCAUGGUCACAACUGUCCCCACCGGCAGAACUACGAUCUAUGCCUCUGACUUGUCUUGCAAAAUCACCUUCUUGGCCUCCUCCACCGACUUCCCUACCAACUCUGGCCACUCCGUCUUCUGGUUGUGAUGGUCACCAGUAUCGGUGUUCCCUCCCUCCGGCUUCUUCACCACAGAACUCAUCCUUGUGACGCUUGCUUCCUUUGAUAAAAAAAAAUAACUGAAAUUGUCACAGAAAAUAACUUGCAGAAAACUAUAAUAACAGAGAAGAUCAAAUAUGCACAUACUAACCUGUGAGACUGAUUAAAUCGCCUGUGCGACUGUGAGAUGUUGAACUGUCAUGUCCUCACCUUAAUGUGUAUUUAUAGGCAAUCAGGCUCGACUCCUUAUAAUGUGUAGUUCUGCACACAAAGUAAGCUAAUGGUGUACUCCUUGCUAACUUCACAUGGAUGGUGGUAGCUUGAACGAAGAUAUCCCAUUUGGCUUUAUUUAGAGUAUUACGUGCCUACACAUCAUCAGAUAAAGUGAUGCUUAUCUACCUCGAGCAGAAAAGGGUGAAUGAAAUCUUGCACGGAACAUUAUGGAAGGUUGUCAUAUCUUGGUCCUGGAUUACACGUAGACUGCAAACAAAACAAGAAUCAUCACAUGCCCGGCCUAUUUUUGUAGGAGAACACGACACUGCAUACAACUCAACCAGACAGAUAAAGAACUUUUCUUAGCAUAAAGAAUCAAAUUUAUUGUUAAGGCUCUGCAUAAUAACAUUCAAGGCAAGCUAAGAAGUUUGUACUCCACCAAAAAAAUAACUUACACUCCACAAACCUAUUUUUUUAUUUCUUUCCCUUCAAGUUUGCACUACAACUUCCUUUCACAUUAGUGUGCACCAAAAUAUCUUCAUCUCUAUCUUCAUAUGUAAUAAUUUAUAUUUUUUAUGUUUGAAACAUCAAGUGGAGGUACCGUGUAUACUAGCUUCCAAAAAUAAUUAUGUACAAUACUUUUUUUAUGGGACAUAUCUACAGUACUUCAAUUUGUUUCAACAUGGAACAUACUACAUUAUAAUGUUAAUCGCAUAGUUACACAAUUUUUUGAAAUCAUUUUCUAUAUUAUCAAGCCAUUAAAUUAAUAUCUAGCUAGUUUAAGUAUAAUUAAAAUUUAAGCUACUUGUAUCUUCAUAAGGACUCUAGAUUUGAAAAAAAAUAGUAUUUAUGUAAAUUUGUAGUUUGUAUCAGAAAUUUAUGUAAAAACAUAUUUAAAUUUUGCUUUUGGAAUUCAAACAUUUAUAUUGUAUAGGCGGUUAAGUUACCAAAUCUACGACGUGCUCUAGCGAAUUUGAAUGUGUGCUCCCCGCAAAAAAAAUUGAACUUGUGUUGUUCUUGUUUAGUUGUUCCAUUUAAAUAUGCACUUGGAAAUUUUCCAUAUGUUUUUUAGUGUUUGUAUGGAAUGCCUUUUCGAAUUAAUUUGUUAUUUCUUUGAACAUUUAAUUGCUUUUUGGAUUUCCUAAAAUAAAUCCUCCUUCCAUGGGCGAAAAUCAAAGAUGUUCUUGCUCUUUUUUGCCAAACUGUGGUUCUGUUCUGGCCAUUACCAGACUGCACCUUUACGCAUAAUGGGCUCUGGCCUUAGUUAAACGGAAAUGUUAACGCCCACACGUGUGGGCGUUAGCCAUCUCAACCACACGCCUCCAUCGUCGUCCAGCAGUAUCUGCACGAUCUUGGCACGUUUUGACUGAUUUUGUGUGCCACGUAGGACAGGGCGUGUGUGUGGUGUGUGACAUAGUUCGCCCACACGCCGGUUGCCUCCCCGCGGUCAGCGGUUGCCACUCGGGGGCAUGCAGUGGAACUGCUCUCCGCCCGCACGCCACGCCCGACCGUGGUUGCCGUCAAACACGUCGCGAACUUCGCCCCCUCCCCUCACGGUUCCAUUUACUCCUCCCCUCAGUUACUCACACAACCCACCCCGCAGUUCGGUCGAUUGGAGGAGAAGGCAGUUACUUGCAAAACCCACCCCGCAGUUCGGUCGAUUGGAGGAGAAGGCGAGAGGAGAAGGCGACGGCAGAGGCGGAAGAGUUGACGGCAUUCGCGGCCGUCGGUGGGACUCGCCGGACCGGAGUGUCUUCGCCGGAGCGCCUGCAGAUUGAAGGUAAUGCUCCCUCCCACGCUCAAAAUCCUUGCCUGCAUUUCUCCCUUCCCCUCCGUGGUCGAUGCUUCGCUCGAGAUUCAUCGAGAUUCAGGCGGGUUCGCGAUGCGCCGGCGUUCCCGCCGGGCGGCGGAGUCUUGUGCUUGCCGUUUUCGGUGGCAUUGAGCAGUUUCGUCGCCGCCGCGGUGGCGGUCACGCCGGUGUGGUUCGGCCUGUCCGGAGCAACAUCCUGGUUGUGCCUUGGGAUUGGGCUGUCGUUUUUCUGUCCGAUAGUUGCGCAUUGCUUCGAAAUGCUAUUUGCGAUCAGUGCACGGAGAAUUUUGGUGAUGAAUUUCAAGUUAUGAUAGGUUCCAUUGAACCCUAGAUCUAGGUAGUUGUUUUUCAAAGUGCAGUAUGAAUGCAAACAUGGUAGUUUGAGUAACUAUCUGCACUGUAUGGCAACUAAUUUCCUGAUUGGUUGUGAUAGUUGCCACAAAUAUGUUUUCCAUGUGGCAACUAAUUUCGUGCACAUGCUACGGCUGUUGCCACGCUGUAGGCAUGGUAAAGUGUAGUAAAUAGGUAGUCAUUUCUGUUUCAGCAACUAUGUGCACUGGAUGGCAACUAAUUUCCACAUCAACUGUGUCAGUUGCCACAUAUAUGCUUUCCAUGUAGCAAGUAUUUCUGUGAACACACUAUGACUGUUGCCAUGUUGUAGGUAGGAUAAUGUGGCAAAUUCACUGUACUACAACCCAAAUUUGUGUCUUGCCACGCUGACUUGUGGCAACUGACAUGAUAAUGUGGCAUGGCAAAGUAUAGUAACUAGGUUGUCAUGUCAGUUUCAGCAACUAUGUGCAUUGGAUGGCAACUAAUUUCCACAUCAACUGUGUCAGUUGUCAUAUAUAUGCUUUCCAUGUGGCAAGUAUUUCUGUGAACACAGCAUGGCUGUUGCCAUGUUGUAGGCAGGAUAAUGUGGCAAAUUCACUGUACUACAGACCCAAAUUUGUGUUUUGCCACGCUGACUUGUGGCAACUGACAGGAUAAUGUGGCAUGGCAAAGUAUAGUAACUAGGUUGUCAUGUUAGUUUCAGCAACUAUGUGCACUGGAUGGCAACUAAUUUCCACAUCAACUGUGCCAGUUGCCAUAUAUAUGCUUUCCAUGUGGCAAGUAUUUCUGUGAACACAGCAUGGCUGUUGCCAUGUUGUAGGCAGGAUAAUGUGGCAAAUUCAUUGUACUGCAGACCCAGUUUCGUGUUUUGCCACGCUGACUUGUGAUAUCUGAACAUAUUUGGCCGUACUAAAUGGCAACUCAUUUUUAAUAUGUGGUCAGUGUGUGCAUUGCAAUUUCAGGUUGUUCAGUAGAUGUUUUUCAACGCUUUUUUGAUUUUUGUGUUGCAUUUUAACAUGGCAAUUUCAACCUAGCACAUUUGCCUUUGAACACAUGGCAACUCAUUUUUGUAUGAGGACAGGGUGUGAGCUGCCACAUUUUAUGUUUGUGCAGUGGAAGAUUUGUGCCUUUCUUUCGUAAUAUCUUGUGCUAACAUGGCAACUUCAACAUUUUUUUAAGUGCAUUACGAUCUGUACAUUUUUUAAAUGAAGCCAGUGUGUUUAAUUGCCACAUUUAUGUUUUCGACAAUCAUAGGGGUGCGUGUGUGUUCAUGUGAUAUUUGCCUUCACUAUUUGCCAUUUCAAUUGAGACCAUGUGGCAAGCACAUUCUGUUAGGUGGCAACUGCUUACUUCCUACAUUUCAUUUCCACCCUGACAAUUUGGUUUGUUCUUACCUCAGCAGAAUGGCUCGCGGCGAUCAUCAAAACGAUGAUGAUGAUUUCAUGGAUGCACCGUAGCAGAAUCGGGCAACUGGACGGAGAAAAGACGGCGAUGAGGUAACUGUCUCCUUCCCCCUGCAUAUGUUUUUGGAUGCCACAUCGAGCUUGCAAUCGUCUGUUAUGAACUAAAUUUUCAUGACAGUGAAAACAUGACAACAAAUGAUCAUUUGUCUGUUUUGCAGAAGAAGAAACGUACUCGCAAUAGGGCCUCGCAGGAACGCCUGACUUCAUUGACCGACAGAUUUACCGACGAUCAGAAGGGAGCUGCUGCUGAGAUGGGUAUGCAGACUCUGAUGGAUAUCCGGUGCAAGAAUCUAGUGAACCCUGUAUGCGACUGGCUUGGUGAGAUUUACGACCCCGCCUCCAGGGAAUUUGUGAUUCCGGGACGUGGAAGACUGCCGUUGGACGAGGAAUCUGUGUUCUGCACUUUGGGUGUGCCCCAUGGAGAAAUCAAACUCCCGUACGAGGUCAAUAAUAAGAUCGAGGAAAUGUUGUUCCCCCGUUUGUUUCCUGGGUUGGAAUCCAUGCCGAACACGACUUUCCUGGCAGAUUCGCUGCAGGUCAUGACAACCCAUGGCGAGGUUUUUAAGAUGAAGCUACUCAUGUACCUCAUCUCAGCUGUUUUCGCGCCGACCACUUCUCUUCGCCCAAGCAACAAAUGCUUCCCCAUCCUGGUGAAUGAUCUAUCUAUACUCCAUUAUGUCCUUCAAUCUUUUGGCUCCGAUGUCAUGUGUAAGCUAGUCACUGCCAGUUUUUUUUUAUGUUUUUCCAUUUGAUUUCUGAUGCGGCAACUUGUUAUCCUGAAAAUUGUGCCGUGCAGGCGAAACUGAAAGAUGUGAAGAACAUGAAAUGGUGUAAGUUCAUCGCCGACUUCCUGCAUGAUGCAUUCUCAAACAAGAUGUACCAGAAGGGUUGUCGACUGCAUUUAAUGGUAUUUUUUUACCAGUCCUUUUUGUGAACACUCUUUAACACCUUUAUUUAUGCAUGGCAACCCUGAUCAUAACAAGAUGGCACCUGCCAUCAUGACAAGAUGGCAACUGCCAUCAUACCAUGAUGGCAACUAGUAUAGACAGAUGGCAACUUCUUCUUUUCUUUUCAUGCACUUCAACUUGAUGAUUGUAGGAACAUACAUUAGCUUGUUUUUGUAAAAUACUAUGAUGGCAACUGAUAUUUUUUCCUUUUAAAAUUGUUGUACAUCAGCUCAUGUACGUCGACUAUCUUGAUCUGUCUACCGUGGACUUCACUGGGACAGGAGGCCCGCCGCCAACACACAAGUUUGUUGUUUCUGCGUGGACUUACGAUGCUGUCAAGGCUGUGCUUGCUGCAGACAGGGUAACUGAUACCAAAUAUGGAAAACUGCAGGUUAGUUCUGGUUUCUUUCUCUACACGGCAUUCUUACAAUUUUUUGCUGCAUAACAUAUGAAAAAUCCUCAUGUGGCAACCGUCUGUGGCUAACAAGAGAUGACUACCUUGUUAGCCAUGGCUGUCUGCGCAUGGUAUCCAUGUCUCACUCCAGAUGGCAACUCUGUCAUCCGUGCUGAAACUUCUAGUCUCUUCCUCUUUUUUUUGUUUUAUGUGCAAUACAUGAACUGUUAGUUAGUGUUCAUCAUUUUCUCUCUUACAUCCUAGCUAUUUUUUGGUUAUUUCCAGCUGAUGGCCAAGCAUGCUAUAGACUACAGCGUGUUUGGGGGGCCUCAAAACUUUGGAAUGUGGAUGGACGUGCACUCAGCUCCGUCUUGCCCUACUGAGGUAAUCAAGGAUAUAUAUCUAUGGUUGCUUUGGAUUAUUUUUGAUCUUGUGCAAGUGACUCUAAUAUGGUUGGUUAUUGCUGCUUCUUGUUUCGUGCACAGGUGAGGGCACCUGUUGAGCAUCUAAUUGGGCAGAUUGCAUCCGGAAUGACCAGCUUGCUUGGGGAGUUGGUUGAGGGUUGGACGUCCCUAAAUGGCUCUGACAGAGACGCGGUUGCGAGGCAGUUCACUACAUUUGUUGCAGAACGGACACAUCGGCUAACUGGUUGCCGUGGCCGGUACGACUACAACAGCUCCCAAGAGCUUGCUAACACACAAGAUGAACUAGAUGGAGAUGCUGCUCUCAACAAGGACGAUGACGAUGACAUGGAGAACGUGCAGCACGACACCGAUGAUGAUAAACAUGUUGAAGUUCGUGCAGGUGGUAAGAAGGGCAAGGCUGCACCAGAUGUCCCCUCACCGGAGAAAGUCAAAGAACAUACAACUGCGAGAGGCGAGGGGGUGUUUCCCUCAAAGAGGGGGAGGGCUCCAGAGGAUGUUGGGCAGGGUUCUCCUGGCAAGAGGUCUAGGACCGAUCCUGUAGCUGCUAGGAGGAGGUUCGACUUCUAUUUUAGUGUUUUGUUUUGUCUAUCUUUUUUGAACAGACUGACCCUUUUUUGCAUUUGUUUUGCUAAGCACGGCAAUGAGUUUCCUGUCUAACACUUGGCACCUUUUUUUUGCCACUAUCUUAUACGUGCAGUGAGGCGACAACUUGUGGACGAGCAGUUACGAAGAAACAGGCACCAACGCCAACCCGUGUUUCUGCUCGAUUGAACAAAGGUGCCCCCAUUGCUGGUGACACCCCUUCCACCAGGUCAUCUCCUCGUAUGAUGACGUCCAACACCGGGGAUCCUGUCGUGUUGCCAGACAUGAGAAAGCCAGUCAAGAAGUAGGUUUUCCCUGUUCUUUCAUUGCCAUAGUGCUAUAUUUUUGAUUUUUCAAUGCAUCUGUUCAGCUUGCCACAUGGGCUACUGUCUUUAGUCCCACAUGGCAACUGCUAUUUUUCCAAUGAUCUCUUUCUUUUUUAACGGCAUGGCAACUCCUGCUUGGUUUUGCAUGGCAACUGCUAUCUAGGCCAAAUGGAAACUCUUAUUGUACCUACAUGGCAACUACCAUCUUUCCAUUAGCUUGUGUGCUCAUCCCAUACCUAGUUUUGAAAUUGCAUUCCUGGCAGAUCAGACAUUUUUUUCAUUCUUCAAAUUGGCUAGCAUGGCAACUCUUGCUGGUUUUGCAUGGCAACUGCUAACUAUGCCACAUGGCAACUCUUAUUCCACCUACAUGGCAACUACCAGCUUUGCACCUAAUUUUCAUUUUUUAAGAUUUCUACCAUGGCAAAUAUUUUUUGUUCAUUUCUUAAUACCUUUUCAUGUGCUUUUCUUUUUGCAGGGUGAAGAAGACUACUACACGCGCGGCCAAGCAUAUCAUUAGGGACCCACUCGAACGCCUUCAUUCAAAGUUGUCAACAGGUGGCAACUCAGAUGUUCAUGAGGCGCUAGUCGACAAAACUGCUGCUGCACCGUCAACUGUUCCCACUAACUCUAACGCAAGUGGCCGACGAUCUCCGCCGGUUGCAGAUGUGCAGGCUACAACAACAGGCAUCCGUACAUCGGGGAGUGACGAGUCGGUAUCUGCCAGGACUGCUGAAAUAUUGCCCACUCUGCUGGCAAUGAAGGAUGCUGCUGUGAGCCAUGCCACCCCAUCAGCAGCGUUGAAGUGGACGCCCCCGAGACCAACCUAAGCAAGGAAGAUUCCCGCUCAUCUGACACGGAUUCCAAGCACGUGCGUGGCGGCACUCCUGUCACUACUAGGGAAAAGCCUAGCAGCAGCGCGGGUUUUAGGCCUAUCAGUAGCGCGGGACGAUGCGCUACUGAUAAGGCGCUACAGCUAACGUAUAGCAGUAGCGCCUGUCGUCCCACACCACUGCUAUACAUGGAUAGCUGUAGCGCGCUUCAGAGAAGAGCGCUGCUGAUAUUAUCGGCAGCGCUUUUUACAGGGAGGCGCUACUGGUAAGGCGGCGCAACUGCUAACUUUUUUCCCCUCGCUACUACUAGUUUUAUUAGUUUUUUGUUUUGUAUUUGAAUAGGCUUUAUAUAGUAAUCUUUAGCAUAUCAUACACAUACAAAUGUAAUUAUAGCAUAUACAUACAACUAGUCUCAUCAAAUCAUGUCAUCAUCAUAAUCAUCAUCCAACACAAAGUGGUCUCUCGUCAUCAUCUCGAAAAUAGCGAUACAAGUCUCGAUUACUUGCAAAUACAUCGUCAUCCAUCUAAACAAUGAUAUACGCGAGAAGAGCUAUCACUUUGAGUGAGAGCGGAACUAUGCAGUACAUGAGUUCGUAUCCCUCUCUCGCAUUAGCGUGAACCUAAACUAACUACUACCUGUCGCUCGGAAACUGGAAACCGGUACACCUGGGCCUGACACUCCGGCCACUCAUCGUAUAUAUACUCCUGGCGUAGCACUUCUUCGCCAUCGAUAAUCUAUGCACCUGCAUCGUCACAUGAGUCGAUGAUAUGCAACAUAUAUAGUUGAGCAAUAGAAAGAGACAGACUUGGCAAAAAUAGAAACAUCAUAUCAUAAGCAUAAAUAACAAAGUUCAUCGUACCCAAAAUGCCCUAACUAGAGUGAUCUUCGCUAGUCGAGGAGGAGGACGGUUUAAUUACAUCACAAAUAAAGUUUCGCCGUGCAUAACUCAAAGUUUUGUCAUAGAGAAAGUAUGGACUAAACGGACACAUUGUCAUAUAUCGACAAUCACUCCAACAUGUCGUGCCAUCCAUCAAUGUCAGGGAGAUAGUCCCCGAGCUUAGUGAAAGGCUUCAUGUCGAGACGCUGAGAGGCUACCCAUGUUCGAACGUCUUCCCGCGAAAUUUGUCCUUCUCCGUAGAACAUCCCUGUUUUUCCGACGACCUCCUUCAUGAUGAUUUGGGCAAGUUCGCACUGGAUGUUAUAGAACUCAGCUCGAAGUCGAUGAUCCUCGAUAUCUCCUAUGUCCUUUGCCCAUUGCAGAAUAUGGGCAUCGCCGGAUCUAGGUGACAUGCGAAGGUUCUGGUGAUCCCAUCUGUACUCCAGCAUGUGGUGUGGGACAUAGAAUCCAUCAUUAAGAGAAUCACUCGGUUGCUGGAUGCAGCAGAAGUCGGUCUUAUGGCCGAAGGCGAGCCUGCCGCCCCUUCUCUUCUUGUCCUUGACCUCUCCACCCCGUGCUUGGUAGUAAAACAUAGCACUGUCGAGAACAUCCUUGAUGUGGGUGUAAUCCUUUUUGUGAAUGUUCUUCGACGAGUCCAAGUAAAGAGCGUGGGAGUAUCGGGGGUAGAGGAUGAUGAGGACGAGGCGCCCGCCGCUGCGCAAAAUAAGUACACCUCAAAUUAAUUAGCCUCCACCGUGCAAAUGAAUGAUUGAAAUCGAAGGAAGGAUAGCCGCGCGGAUGACUUACACGGGAUGAUAAGGCACGAGAAUUGCCUCCUUGUCCUUAUUGGCGAGUAUGAAACUGACGAUGUAUUCCCUCGCGUAUUCACAGUGCUUUGCGCAGACUCCCAAGAAGCCCUCGUGCAUGUAGUACGGGUCAGCGACACAGAUAUGAGGUAUCAGCUCAACCCCGAUGAUGUAGUUCAUGUGCAAGGCAUAAAGGCGGACAAACGUAAAAUCCAGCUUCUUCAUGUGAAACAUGUCGAAUAUGUAAUCGAAUAGAAGGAAGAACUUAUCCGCGGGGAAGCAGUCGACGUACGCCAUUUUCUGCGGAACGUUAACCACGUAGAGUGGGUAUCCUAGAUCUUUCGAGGGGAUGAGGCCUUUCUCUAUCCGCAGCACAUUGUCAUGAAGUCUCCUUAGAUCGCCGAAUUUGGCCCCUAGCGCUCUUGCAGGUAGGAUUGGUUGACCGGGGAUAUGCCAUUUAUCCGCAUCGGGGAUAUCUAUACGGUCCUGAAGCCGAGGCUGCUGAGGCGGCUGGAUCAUAGAAUCAGCUUUUUUGCCUUUCCUCGCUCUCUUCCUAGACUUCUUUACUACCAGAAGGUCGUCCAUAAUUUGUUCAGCCUCUGGAGACGGCAAUUCAGGCACCGACUCAUGACGCUCAGACCCUGAGUAGGCGCCAGUAUAGACAUACUGUUGAGUGCCAUCGUCAUCCUCAUCCUCAUCCAUGGCGACGUCAUCAGCGACUAAUGGAGCUUCCUCCUUACCCCAUCCGCUAUCACCCAACCCGACACCCGAUGCUAAUUGGGUAGGUGGGGUGUUGAUGUUCAUACCUUGCUGAGGCUGCGUGCUCGUGGGUGUGCUCCCGGCCACCUCCAGACGAAGCAGACUCUUUGGCCACAACAGGACCCACCCAUUGCAACAAUCACCAAGCCGCCACGGGGUCUCGUCGUCAUCCCGCACUAGUAUCAGAGGAGGCAAAUUCUCAUGGCCCGGUUUGACACUGGCCACGGAAACCUUGAAGACGUUCAGGGGGAUCGGCCGGCUCUGGAACAAUGGUUCCUUCGGCUCCAUUAUCGUCGCCUUCCCCACGUCCACCUUCUGGUCGCUGAUGGUGUACAAUAUGGUGCAUGGGGUUUCGUCAGCCUGCAAAGAAAAUUCUGCGACGUGAGACAUCCGAAAGGCAACGAAAAUGGGAGAUUAUACAUUUAUUGAAGGGGGCCGGUGUGACAGAUACCGUGAGGGCGUCGAGCUCUGCCAAAGACGAAGCACCGCCGAGCACGUCCGGUGCCGGAGCCGGUGCGGGAGCAGGUGCUGGUGCAACGCUAGUCGAGCUGCUCCCCAAGAAGUCAGCAAGGGGAAAGUCCUCUGCAUUUUUUUUCUGGAUUUGCCUGGUCCAAGUGAAAAUGGCCGGAACCAAGGAAGUACAUAUAUCUGCAACCACCUGUUUUGCGGCAGCUACCGCUCUUGCGACUGUCUGAGAUGACUUAUUCUCAACGGCAAUCUCAACCUUCUUGUCGAUGUUUUCUUCAGUUAACCUCUGUCUUUCCUUUCUCUCCUCCGUGGUCUCACGGUAGCACUUCUUCCACGUGGCGCCGUCUCCGACACCGUGCACGCGUCCAUACGACGGUCGAGUAUCCACCGGGAGUCGUUUCAAUAUGUUCAAUGCCCGGUUGAAUGGAGUGUCCCACUGUUGGGAAUCGUAGCAUAAUUUUAAAAUUUUCCUACGCUCACCAAGAUCCAUCUAUGGAGCAUACUAGCAACGAGGGGAAAGGAGUGCAUCUACAUACCCUUGUAGAUCGCGAGCGGAAGCGUUCCAAUGAACGUGGAUGACGGAGUCGUACUCGCCGUGAUUCAAAUCACCGAUGACCGAGUGCCGAACGGACGGCACCUCCGCGUUCAACACACGUACGGUGCAGCGACGUCUCCUCCUUCUUGAUCCAGCAAGGGGGAAUGAGAGGUUGAUGGAGAUCCAGCAGCACGACAGCGUGGUGGUGGAUGUAGCGGGUCUCGGCAGGGCUUCGCUGAGCUUCUGCGAGAGGGAGAGGUGUAGCAGGCGAGGAGGGAGGCGCCCAAGGCUGUAAUGCUACUGCCCUCCCUUCCCCCCUUUAUAUAGGCCCCUGGGAGGGGGGGCGCCGGCCAAACCCCAUCUAGGGUGGGGGGGCGGCGGCCAAGGGGGUGCCUUGCCCCCCAAGGCAAGUGGGAAGCCCCCCCACCCUAGGGUUUCUAACCCUAGGCGCAUGGGGGGAGGCCCAUGGGGGGGCGCCCAGCCCACUAGGGGCUGGUUCCCUUCCCACUUUGGCCCAAGGGCCCCUCCGGUACAGGUGGCCCCAUCCGGUGGACCCCCGGGACCCUUCCCGUGGUCCCGGUACAAUACCGGUAACCCCCGAAACUUUCCCGGUGGCCGAAACUUGACUUCCUAUAUAUAAUUCUUCACCUCCGGACCAUUCCGGAACUCCUCGUGACGUCCGGGAUCUCAUCCGGGACUCCGAACAACUUUCGGGUUUCCGCAUACACAUAUCUAUACAACCCUAGCGUCACCGAACCUUAAGUGUGUAGACCCUACGGGUUCGGGAGACAUGCAGACAUGACCGAGACGCCUCUCCGGUCAAUAACCAACAGCGGGAUCUGGAUACCCAUGUUCGCUCCCACAUGUUCCACGAUGAUCUCAUCGGAUGAACCACGAUGUCGAGGAUUCAAUCAAUCCCGUAUGCAAUUCCCUUUGUCAAUCGGUAUGUUACUUGCCCGAGAUUCGAUCGUCGGUAUCCCAAUACCUUGUUCAACCUCGUUACCGGCAAGUCUCUUUACUCGUACCACAAUGCAUGAUCCCGUGAGUAACGCCUUAGUCACAUUGAGCUCAUUAUGAUGAUGCAUUACCGAGUGGGCCCAGAGAUACCUCUCCGUCACACGGAGUGACAAAUCCCAGUCUCGAUCCGUGCGAACCCAACAGACACUUCCAGAGAUACCCGUAGUGUACCUUUAUAGUCACCGAGUUACGUUGUGACGUUUGGUGCACCCAAAGCACUCCUGCGGUAUCCGGGAGUUGCACGAUCUCAUGGUCUAAGGAAAAGAUACUUGACAUUGGAAAAGCUCUAGCAAACGAAACUACACGAUCUUUUAUGCUAUGCUUAGGAUUGGGUCUUGUCCAUCACAUCAUUCUCCUAAUGAUGUGAUCCCGUUAUCAAUGACAUCCAAUGUCCAUACUCAGGAAACCGUGACUAUCUGUUGAUCAACGAGCUAGUCAACUAGAGGCUUACUAGGGACACGUUGUGGUCUAUGUAUUCACACAUGUAUUACGAUUUCCGGAUAAUACAAUUAUAGCAUGAACAAUAGACAAUUAUCAUGAACAAAGAAAUAUAAUAAUAACCAUUUAUUAUUGCCUCUAGGGCAUAUUUCCAACACCCACUUGGGCCUCGCCAAUGCCUCAGACAGCGAGUCGCUUUCGGCCGCAAUCUUGUGCUGCUCUCUCUGCAAAAGGCACAAGGAUCAUAUACAAAUAUGACUAACGUGUGCAGUCGAAUUGAUCAGAAACUAAAAUUACCAGCAGUCUCAUGAACUCCGUCGUGACCGGGUUUGUCUCGUAAACCUUCUUCACUUGGUCCCAACGGUGUCGGGCACUGAGAACAUCACGUUCCUGCGGGACGGUGAACUCCGCCAAGGGGUCUGGGAUGCCCAGACUCGCGGCUUCCGCGUCCUCCUUCGCCCAUUUGGACCUCUUUCCGCCGUAACCACGGCUUCCGAGGUGGUGGCUCCCAAUGUUCCUCUCUUGAAGCCCCUUCAUGUACUUUGACUUUUUUUUGGCAGCUUCGGCCUCGCAAGCCUCCUUGAAUAUUUGAAACUACUCUUCUGUGAUUGUCGGAUUAUCCUUUACAAUCUCGGAGUAGGGUUCCUUCUUGUCGAUGAUCCUUGCUUUCACUCGAUUUUUCCAGGCGGCCAACGCGUCGCUAAACUUGGUCAUGGCGUGUUUGUUUAUCUUCUUCAUUGCCGGGUCCUUAUCUGGAUCUUCAUAAUCCUUCUCAUUCUGGCCCGGGAACAAGAAUAUCUGGUGAAACUUCUUUAGGAGGGAGGGCCUCAUAUUAUCUUAUCUUCUAUAGUUUCUCACCGUUGAUGGUGGCGGUUGUCCGUACGCUGCAGCCUAUUUGAUUGCCGUAGCACGAGCGCGCUUCCUCGGGCGCCUUUGGCUCAAAAUUGCCACCGUCCACCUCCGUGACCACCAGUCUAGUAGUCCUAAGUUUGUUAGGAAGUCAUUGCCUCUUUGCUUUCGGUUCUACACCGGCUCCACUCCCCGAGGCAGCGCCAGUCUCAGUCUCAGCGUCGGUCUCGAUGUCGGUCUGAGUCUUAGCACCGGUCUCAGUCUCAGCACCGGUCUGCGUGUCGGUCUCAGUCCCCCAUGCCACCAGUGGGCCCAGCAACAACAUCGGUUGAUCGUCGGCAAGGCUCAAAAAUUCAUCUGCCGCCCGGUAGAUGUCGUCGCAAUCACCAGAACCCUGUCCUUCAUCGUUGCUAGCCAUGUUUCCUAUGAUUAAAUCUAUUCAAUUAAUUCUAGACCUAAUAAAAUGAAUAAUGACAUAAAAAAGGCCUAUUGUUUUGCAGGAACAUUGACUCCUUCCUGGUGCGGCAAAUCCCGGGCACUCGGUAUGUCCUAGUUUGUAGCACAAGUCAUGCCGAAAUUCACGGAAAAUUUCGGCAUGACCAUUGCUAAAAAGUGGACAAAUCGAGAACCUGGAAUUUGCCGGAACGGAAAUGAAUCAACAUUCUGGCAAAACAUAGGCCACUCAGCUUCAUUCCCUGGAAACAGUGUUCAAAUAUCCCUCUUCGACACCGCAACACAUGUCCAAAUAUACACGAGCAACCACAUUUUGAAAUUUCACAAGCUAAUUCAAAAACAAAGUGUAGAAGAAAAUUCAUUUAACUACUAAUAGAACAAAAUUCAGUUAACUUUAGUGCUCUAUAAUGAUGAAAGGAAAAAAAAUUAGUUACCUACUAAUUUCAUUCAUUUAGGUUAUUCAUUUAACUUCACCUAAUUAACCUACUGUACCACUACUACUAGCAGCACUACUAACCUAAUUAACCUAGCAAAACUCUACUGCCCUAACUGAAAAACAUCUAAUUAACAUCUGCUAGUACCACUACUGCCCUAACCUAAUUAACAUCUACUGGUAUCACUAUAUACUACAAGCAGCAUAUACCCUAAUUAAACCCUACUGCCGUAACUAACUUUUGCUGUAAACCAAAUUUUUUGCUCUAAACUAAUUUUUGCUCGAACAUCUACUACUUAACAUCCUUUGCUCUAAACUAAAUUUUUUGCUAUAAACUAACUUUUUNNNNNNNNNNNNNNNNNNNNNNNNNNNNNNNNNNNNNNNNNNNNNNNNNNNNNNNNNNNNNNNNNNNNNNNNNNNNNNNNNNNNNNNNNNNNNNNNNNNNNNNNNNNNNNNNNNNNNNNNNNNNNNNNNNNNNNNNNNNNNNNNNNNNNNNNNNNNNNNNNNNNNNNNNNNNNNNNNNNNNNNNNNNNNNNNNNNNNNNNNNNNNNNNNNNNNNNNNNNNNNNNNNNNNNNNNNNNNNNNNNNNNNNNNNNNNNNNNNNNNNNNNNNNNNNNNNNNNNNNNNNNNNNNNNNNNNNNNNNNNNNNNNNNNNNNNNNNNNNNNNNNNNNNNNNNNNNNNNNNNNNNNNNNNNNNNNNNNNNNNNNNNNNNGCUCUAAAAUGCAGAGAGAGAGGAGUGGGGGGGAGGGGUGGGGGACUUACAGAGAGGGGAGACGGUGGCGGGGAGGUGCUCGGCGGAGGCAGGGGCGGAGAGGGCGGGCUCGGGCAUGGGCAACGGCGGUCCUAGGCGGGCUCGGGCGGCGGUGAGGUGGGGGCGGCGACGGUGAGGUCGAGGGCGGCCUCGGGCGGCGGCGGUGAGGCUGAGGGCGGCCUCGGGCGGCGGCGGUGAGGAUGACGGCGGCCUCGGGGGGAGAUGGUGAGGUUGCGGGCGUCCACGCCGGCAGGAAACGGCGGCGAAGCGGGGCGACGGCGAAUUGGAGAGACGGCGGCGAGGGCGAGGGAUUUGGGGAAGAAGUGGUGGCCGGGGGGAAGGAAACCGUUGUUUAAGUGGAACGUAACGGUAGCGCAUUCUUGAAAACGCGCUAUAGCUAAGCUAGCUACAACGUGUUUCCUGAAACACGCUACUGCUAUUCCUUUCUCCUUUUUCCCCCUUUUUUCAUUUAUUUUUCUUUACAUUUUAUUUUAUUUUUUUCCUUUCUCCUUUUUCUAUUUCUUUCAUUUUCAUUUACUUUUCUACUUGUUUUUCAUUUUAUUUUAUUUUGGUCAGCAGUAGCGCCUUACACAUAAACGCGUUGCUACAACAAAAUUAGCGGCAGCGCUGUUUCUGAAAGAGCGCUACUACUAUGUGUAGCCGAUCCGCUUAGUGGUGGGAAUUUUUGUAGUAGCGCUGUUACAGCGGGACGCGCUACUGCUAUAUAUGUAUCUUGCAGCGCGGUUAUUCCGCGCGCGCUACUGCUGUCUAGCAGUAGCGCCCUUUUUUAACAUACGCUACUGCUAAAGUUCUGUGUAUAGGAUUUUCCCUAGAAGUGUGUGUCCACGACAGAAGUGGCUGAGGCGACAGUUCAUAAUGAUAUGCCAUCUACAGGUGAGAGUCUUGCACAACAGCUCCACCUCCUGGUGGUGCAGAGGUUGCUAAGGCGACUGUUUCGCGAGUUGGUCUUCCACCUAGGCGUCGUAGCCCCCGCAAGCAAUCAACAGACAUACCCAACGCACCGGCUAUAGCUAGGAGCAGUAGAGAUGAGUCUGGUUAUGUUCCUGUGUCCACACUGUUCCCACCACCUGCCAAAAGCAAUGUUAUGGAGAAACCGGAAGACCGGAGUACAACUGAUGCAGGUGUCAAGCCGGGCACGAGUGAUGGAGGUAAACGUCCGGAGCAAACUGCGUGUUUACCCGCAGUGGAGAACCCCAGCCUAAAUCUGCGCACUUCCAAGCUCCCAGUCAAUGUUGGUGUCCCCUACAGCCCAAACAAGAAGAUUGUCAAGAAAGUUGCGACUGAUACCGCAGACAACACGCCUCGCCCUACGAAUAAGCCCGAUGAUUCUGCAGCGGCCGAUUCAGAUAUGUUUGUUGAUCUCUCACCCUUGGAUUCUGCCCCGCAAGUUGUUUGCGGUCCGGCCAGUAGGCAUGAGAGGCACCCAAUGGCCUUCACCCCACCGAGCUUUAGCCUUGGCAUCAGUCAAGAUCAACCAGUGGUGCAAGAUCCUACGCCAGUUGCCUUUGCUUUCCCGGGAGGCAUGGCCGCAAUGAUGGCACAACCAAUGGUCGAGGUCAGGAAGGCUAUCAAGUUCGCAGAGCCGAUCGUCCAAGGUACAUUUCUUCUGCGCUUAUCAUUUUCUUGUAUACAUCUGUGUAGUCUGACUUUUGUCCCAAGCAAUUUUUCUGGGGUUCUCACCUGUGAUGGCAACUGUUAUGUGAUGACAUGGCAACUGGAUUUGCUGCACCAUGUCACCUACAUUUUUGUUGCCAUGCUGUAUUUUCCAUUCGGCAACCACAUGGCAACUGAAGUUGAUACAACAUGGCAAUUGUACUUGUUCUCACAUGGCAACUACAAUGCACUACACAUGGCAACUGGAUUUGCUACAGCAUGUCACCUGCAUUUUUGUUUCCAUGCUGCAUUUUUGAUUCGGCAACCACAUGGCAACUGGAGUUGACACAACAUGGCAACUGCAGUUGCUUUCACAUGGCAAUUACAGUGCGAUACACAUGGCAACUGGAUUUGCCUCCACAUGGCAACUCCCUACUUUUUGUACCUACAUUUCAUAUCAUGCACCUUUUUAUUUUCACACUACAUUUGUUUUGUUUUCCAGGUAUCCUAACCCACUUUUUGAUCCUUGCAGGAACCCCUGAGGAGAUUUUGCCAUCACUUGAUGAAGUUUACCGCAGGAUUGAGGAGGCAACAUUGCAGAGGAGGUCCUCACGAGGUCAGGGGCAAUCAAGUUCCAACGUGCCUGCUGAGACGGUAUCUGAGGAUACCAUUAGAAGUGCCACCCCUAGUUCUGUGAGGCAGCAGAGGGUAGUUCACCCACCUCCCGUGGAUGACUACAAGCCCGAAGUCAAGGCCACAAAGGAGCAGAACCAGCUGUACGAUAUUGUCAAGUGAUUUGGAAAUGCGAGGGCCAGCAGCAAGCACAUGAAGGAGCUGAAAGCGUAAUGACCACACCACAUAACCUCUCAUUUUGCUUUGCUCUUUUUACCAUUCAUCUUUUUUCUCCUUUCUAGAUAUGAUCCGUUUACGUUUUAUCUCUUCUUUUUUUACUUAUUAGACAUGAUUCUUUCAUGUUAUAUCAUUUUCAUACAGCUCAUGUUUGGACAGAACCAAGGUCAUACAAUGCGAAGCGACGUACGUCGACCUGGGUGAUCCUGCCGAGUCCGUGAGGCCACUCAGUAAAAUUUCGACGAAUGUAGUUGCAUGUGGGAUUGACUUCAUCAACAAGCAUAUGGAUAUGUCUCACGGCAAAACAAUCAUGCAUUACAGUGUGACCUGCAAAAUAUGGGAUGGUGACUUCCACCACAAAAUCCUGAGGAAGCAUUUUGCUGCGCACGGUGAAUUCAAGCUCACAAUGAAGAAAUGUGUGAGUACUCCUUCCCUUUUUGCACAUUUUUUCCUCCCAUGGUAUGUUUUUUGCCAGUAGCUACACCCUGUUUAUGUAGCAGCUGUUUCAUGUGGCAACAGCUGCCAUGUAAACUGACUUUUGAUUUGCAUCCCCGUACAAACUAUGUGUCAACUUCAAAGUAAAAUACAGGGCAACUUUGUUCAUACAUGGAUGGCAACUUCCUAUAAGUACCCACUAUAACUAAACAUUUCUAUGUGAUUCUACUUUUUGGCCCCUUGCUGCUUUAUGUCACUCAUGUGCCUCUUACCGCAACCGGUGAUAUCCUUACACGUCAUUUUCCCAAUUACACCAUUUUAUGUUCUUCAUGUGAACUCUACUUCUUCUUUCCUUUAUUUUACUUGCAGGUCCUGUUCCCCAUGUUCCAGGAGCUUGCACCACAUGACCCGCACGACAAGUGUGGUCACCACUACGCGGUCUGCCUUGACCUGAAGAACCAACGUUUUGAGGUGCUUGAUUCAAUGCGUUCGGCAGCUGAUGCAGACCUUACUACGCAUGGUGAAUACUUCAUCAACAACCUCAAAGAGACAUGGAACCGUCACUACGAACACUCAAAGGUCCAGAUCAGACAUUUUCCAAUUGAGUACGUGGCGACUACGAAGCAAGGGAACAAGUAAUUUCCCAUCUCUUUCUUCAUCUGCCCUCUACACCAAUGCUAACCCUCUUUGUUACAUUUGAAUUGAAGUUUAUCAUUGUUAUCUCUGUCCUUUGCGAGUUCACCUGAUUCUUUUCUUGUACAGGACGGACUGUGGCUUUCACACGUUGGAAUACCUUGCAAAGUGGGAAGGUAGACUGGUUCCUGUUGUCACAGCUGCAAUGGUCGUUGAGCUUCGGAAAACUUACACAUGGAACUGGUUGACGAAUGAAGAUUUCAACAAGCGGUCCGGAGCACGUGAGUUCGUAGAGGAAGCUGUCAACAAAGUCACCAAGAAGUACAAGUGAUCACGUGGUGCUCUAUACCGAAUGCCUACCUUACAUUCUGUUGCCGAGGAAUGUAAGGUACUACCUUUGUUCUUUUCAAAACUAUGUCCGUGCGCUAUGUUAUGACUGCAACCCCGCGUAGCCUAGUAUGUAGUGGUGGUGUGUGGGUGACAUUUGAAUAUUUCCUGUAAAUAUAUGUGUGGACGUGAACCUAUUUAGGCGUGACAGCAGAUACGUUUAUGUUUAUCAUUAUUAUUAUGCUUUCAUCGUUGGUAGCACCAGUUUGGUGUUUUGAAUGCGUCUACGAUGUUUUAAAACAUGGCAAAUGUAGUUCAUCAGACAUGGUUAGUGAAAAUUAUCGUCGUUUUUCAUUUGUCUGUUUGGUUCUUUUUUUUCAUCGCUAAUUGUACCGGCUAGCAUGGUAGUUUGAUCAUGUAGCCGUAACCUUUUUGCGGUUGCUGCACAUGACGCUUUCCAACUUGUUUCCCAUAGAUUGCACACAACACACUAUGUGUGACUAAAAUGCGUUGAAUGAACACGGAGAUAUACGCGAUGCAUAGUCAUUACAAAUAACAUGGCAUAUUUCAGUAGAACUAACAUGGCAGAUUCAGUAUAAACAACACGGCAGAUUCAGUAUAAAUAACAUGGCAGAUCCAGUAUACUUAACAUGGCAGAUCCAGUAUACAUAACAUGGCAGAUCCAGUACACAGAACAUGGCAGGUUCAGUAUAAAUUAUCAUGUCAGAUUUAGUAUAAAAUAGCAUGGCAGAUUCAGUAUAAAAUAGCAUGGCAGAUUAACAAUACAUAACAUGGCAGAUUAAGUAUACAUAACAUGGCAAAUUAAGUACCAUACACGUGGCAACUGCAGUUAUCCAUUCAUGGCAUUUUCCUUCAACUUCUGAUGCCCCUCAAGAGUCAUUCUCCCAUUUUUUAAAAAUUUAGAACAUCUAGAUUAUAAAAUAAAAUUUCACCAAGGACCAUGUCACAGUGCUCCAAUGUUGCUUACAGAUUGCUUGUCCCUUUCUUUGUUUUCUUGUGUUUUGCUUGAAUCUCCAAUCCCGAUUUGUAUCUUAUCUCUUUUGGACGCCCCUUUGUGAUGGAACGGGGCGGGUUCCCGACCUGGGUUUGUGUGCUUGCUGUUCCAGAUCCUAUCUCCGAGUUUUCAGAUGAUGGCCCCGUGGAUGAAGGCACACUUGAUGUGCAGGGGAACCUGUGUAAGGCUUCCUCAGCUUUCCUCUUCUUGAUCUCAUCAAGCUCUCUUUUCAGGGCCUUCCUGUGUUUUUCUACGACCCUCGCUGUCUCAUCACUCUUGCACGCUUCAUCAAUUAGUUCAGCAUAGUUCUUUGUCAACACAACGUGCCUCACAGCUUCCAUGGUUGACUCCGGUCUCUCGUCAUGCACAGCCAAAACUGCGUUUGUUGUCUCUGGCGCCAAUGCGUCGUCAGCGUCCCAAGUCCAUCGCCGCCUUAUGAAAUGGCGGGGCAUACGUGUCACCGCGUUCAUGUCCAUUACUUUUAGUAUGUGACAGCACACAAUGCCGUCCCGUUCGAAUUUGCAGCAUUGGCAGUAGUAUUCGCCUUGGCCUAUUGAGGCUUUCACGUAGUAGUUCCUUCCUUUGUCCCGGUCUUCACGUUCUGAAUCCGACAUGCCCAAAAUAGAAAAUUGAACGUAUGUUCGUCCACCUGGAAAGCCGUGAACAUGCUGGCACGCUUUAUUUCUUCCUGGAAUCUACAAGUUUUGUGUGUUUUUUGUUGAACUAUUGUGUGCUGUUUUUUGUAGCACCUUAUGUUGUCGUGGCAAAUAGAAGUACAUUUCGUUUGAACAUGGCAAAUAUCGUACAUUAAACAUGGCAACUGUAGUACAUUAAACAUGGCAACUGCAGUACAUUAAACAUGGCAAUUGCAGUUCAGUAAACAUGGCAACUGCAGUUCAUUAAACAUGGCAACUGCAGUUCAUUAAACAUGGCAACUGCAUAACAUUUUCAAUUGGCAUUGGCACACCCUUCACUGGCUAGCUCUAGCUUUGCAAGCGCGAAGAAAUGUAUGCGUGCCCCAUCCAUGCAUGCGCAUGAAUAUGUUUUUUGUAAUUGAUGAAUAAAUCCUGGCAUGUCGAGCAUCAGCAUGGCAUGGAUUUGUGUAACUUUUCGUUUCGUCUACCUUUUUUUGAGAGAGAAUCGUUUCAUCUACUUAUGUCUACGUUGUUUGUGCUUUGGACUAGUUCCUGUUUGAAAGAGUACUAGGUUUGUAUCUGAGUACUCAUUAUCCACAAAAUUAGAGAAUGGCAUGCGCUACCUAGUCCUUCCACGUGGCAGUCCAUUUGGUAUCCUCUUUGAAACAACUUUGUUGCUGUACGAACCAUGCAUGCGUUCAUGUUCCAUUUGAUUCUUCCAAACAUGCAGACCACCAUAUAUACAUGGAUGACAGUCAGUUCCAAAUUUUUCAUCAUCAUCAUCAUCAGUGAGUUUUAGUUGCCUGCAGUAUUUUAUCACUGAAACCAUUUAGAUUGAAUAUCAGUUUUUACUGUUAGUCUCAUGCGACCGGAUCUUCAUUGCUACGAAGUUGCUAGUGGUGAACGAUGUCGCUUUAGACACUUAGUCACCUGGUGAUAAAACUGUGAGAUUGUAUCGAAGCGUCUCAAUGCCCAUACACAGGCACCCGCAUGGUAUAUAUUGAUAUUGUGGUUUGUGGUACAAGAAAGGGUUGUUGGGAUCAACCGCAUGAGAGAAUACAUGAGGUUUAACAUAGAGAUAACAAGAAUAAGAAAGAGAUCACAACUAUCUCUAGUUACAACUGAACCUGCGUAUAGCCUCCUGUACCUAUACGUUUAACACCCUCCCAUAAUCAUAACUUGACCAAGUUAAGAUUACGCUUGAAUUCUUCAAAUGGCCUUGUUGGUAGUGCUUUUGUAAAACCAUCUGCAACUUGAUCCUUUGAAUGCACAAACCGUAUCUCUAAUUAUUUGCUUGCAACUCUUUCCCUAACAAAAUGAUAGUCAAUCUCAAUGUGUUUAGUCCGUGCAUGAAAAACAGGAUUAACUGAAAGAUAUGUUGCACCAAGGUUGUCACACCAAAGACAUGGAGUUGGAGAACAAUAUAUCCCAAGUUCCUUAAGCAUGGACUUAACCUAUAUAACUUCUACUGUUGCAUUUGCCAAUGCUUUAUACUCUGCUUCAGUACUUGACCUGGACACUGUAGCUUGUUUUCUUGCACACCGUGAAAUUACAUUUGGUCCAAGGAAUAUGGCAGACCCUCAUGUAGACCCUCUAUCAUCCACACAGCCUUCCCAAUGAGAGUCAGAGAAAGCACUAACCAAUGUGGAUGAUGAUUUACUAAAAGUCAAGCCAAGCCCUAAAGUGCCCUUUACAUAUCUCAGUAUGCGCUUGGCAGUUGUCCAAUGUGAUGUUGUAGGUGCAUGAAGGAAUUGAUGAACUUUGUUUACAGCAAAGCAAAUAUCAGGCCGAGUCAAAGUCAAAUACUGAAGUGCACCAACUAAACUUCUGUACCUGGUGCCAUCCUCUUGAUCCAGGAGUGCUCCUUAUGCAAGAGACAAUUUUUCUGUGCUAGGUAAUGGAGUAGAUGAUGAUUUACAUCCAUGCAAGCUAGCUCUAUUUAAAAGAUCAGUUGCAUAUUUUUCUUGAGACAGAUGAAGACCACCUUCCCUGUUUCUCUGAACUUCUAUGCCGAGAAAGAAAUGCAAAUCUCCCAAGUCCUUAAGAGCAAACUCUGAGUUCAAAUCCUUCAACAAGUCUGGCACUGCUUCAUUUGAUGAACUUGUAACAAUGAUAUCAUCAACAUAAAUAAGCACAAAAACAGAUGUCUUUGACUUAUUAUAAAUAAACAGAGAUGUGUCAAAUUUCGAAGGAGCAAAACCAAGUGCUUGUAGCUUUGAACCCAACCGAGAGUACCAUGCCCUAGGGGCCUGUUUCACCCCAUAAAGAGACUUAUCCAGCCUGCAUAUAUGAAAGGGUUUGUUUUUAUCCUCAAAACCAGGGGGUUUCUUCAUGUAAACUUCCUCUUCCAGAACACCAUGAAGAAACACAUUCUGCACAUCUAGCUGUUCGAAACACCAUCCUUUGGAUACGGCAAUGGACAAAACAAGGCCUAUAGUAGCAGCUUUAACAACAGGACUGAAUGUAUCUUCAUAGUCUAUGCCACACUUCUGUUUGAAUCCCUUUGCAACAAGUCUAGCCUUAUACCUGUCUAUAGUACCAUCUGACUUUUUCUUUAUUCUGAAUACCCAUUUGCAAUCAAUCAAAUUUUUACCUUGUUGUGAAGGAACUAGAUGCCAGGUUUUAUUUUCCUGAAGUGCUUGAAACUCUUCUUCGAUAGCUUUUCUCCACCUUGCAUCCUUGCAUGCUUCCUGGAACGAACUAGGUUCUCCUGUGGAGCAGGUUAAGCCAAACUUUACUUUAUAAUUGACAGGUUGGAUUACACCAGCUCGUAACCUUGUACGUGGCGGAGUUAUAACUUGCUGCACCACUGCACCCGAAAUUUGCGCAGAAGAUCCUGAAGACUAGUCCGCUAUAGGAGUUCCUGGCAAUCCCGGAGCAGAUUCGCUGCUGGUGGCAGCUGCGGGAUCCUCUGCGGCCGAGCCAGGGCAUGACGUGGAGGCGCGCGGCACAGAAGAUCCGGGUACUCCAGUUGCUGAGCCCGACCCAUGCGCCUCCGUAACCACCUGUGGAUCUGUGCCUGCACGGGACUAGUGGAUGGCGCGCCUGGCGUAGACACGCGGGGUCGCACCGAAUCGGUCGGCUGAUCUGUCCUCAUAAGGCGACAUCGUGCGCGUGUGGACAGGCGGGUCCACGCCCUGACGCGUGUCAGGCGCAGAUGGGUGGAGCGUCGUUCCCGUGCUGACGCCACCAUCCGUGCACGCCUGCUGCCGCGGCAUCGAUCCCGGAGCGGAUGUUGGCGGGUCUGCGGCCGCCGAUCCCGAGGAAGAUCGGGGUGCAGGGUUGGCAUGUAGCGGCCACAUGAAAUUUAGGCUGUUUGGACUAUUUUCUUCAACGUUUUGCCUCAAAAAAAAUUCCUGCUGCAUCCUGAGUCGACCCUGCAUCAUCACAAUCAUCAUUUUCAUGGUUAGAAGCAUUAGUCAUACGAUCAGUACAAUUGUCAUCCCCAUGCUGAAAAUCAAAUGAGAGGGUAAAAGAAGGAUUUCUUUUCGGAGCAAGGCACCAGCAUUAGGGUGUAAAUGAGCAAAAGGGAAGACAGUUUCAUCAAAAACAACAUCAUGUGAGAUGUAUACUCGACCAGUGGGAACAUCUAAGCAUUUAACGCCCUUGUGCUUUGCACUAUAGCCGAGAAAAACACAUUGUUUGGAGCGGAACAUGAGUUUGGGGUUGUUGUAGGGACGCAGGUUAGGCCAACAAGCACAACCGAACACACGAAGAGAUUGAUAAUCUGGUCGAGUAUGAAGGAGCCUAUGCAUGGGUGUAUCAUUGUUGAUGACUCGACUUGGAAGCAUGUUAAUGAGAUGGACUGCCGUAAGGAAGGCCUCAUCCCAAAACUUGAGAGGCAUGGAAGCGCCAGCAAGUAGGGCUAGACCUACUUCAACAACAUGUCGAUGUUUGUGCUCAGCUGAGCCAUUCUGUUGAUGUGCAUGGGGACAUGAUACAUGAUGAGAAAUACCCAAGGUUUGAAAAAACAAAUCUAGUUUCUCAUACUCACCGCCCCAAUCAGAUUGGACGGCGAGAAUUUUUGUAUCAAAUUGGCGUUCAACAAGUGCUUGAAAAUUUUGAAAAACUUGGAAAACGUCAGAACGUUUUUUAAGAAGAUAAAUCCAAGUAUACUUACUAUAAUCAUCUAUGAAGCUCACAUAGUAAGUAUGACGUCCAACAGACAUAGGGGCAGGACCCCAAACAUCAGAAAAUACAAGUUGCAAUGGUCUCGUAGAAACACUAGUAGAAAUUGGAUAUGGUAGCUGAUGAGAUUUUGCUUUCUGACAAGAAUCACAUAUAGUUUCAAGACUAAGCUCACCAACACAUGGGAGCUGAUUAUUUCUAAGCACUUGUUGAACGAUAACAAAAGAUGGAUGUCCUAAUCUUGCAUGCCACCGCUCCGAGGAGAGUUUGAUGACACCAAAAACUUGUUUGUUGAAGCUUGUGAAUUGGGGAAUCAAUGGAUAGAGCCCAUGCACACAUCUACCUCUGUAGAGAAUGUUCCUCGUGACCUGAUCUCGAAUCAAAAAGAAAUAUGGGUGAAAUUCUAGAAACACUUUGUUGUCAAGGGCAAUACGAUGAACAGAAAUAAUGUUUUUUGCUGUUUCGGGAACGUGCAAGAUAUUUCUAAGAUGGAUAUUACGACUAGGGGUUUUGACAAUUGCAUGACCAAUAUGAUCAAUCUCCAUACCUUCACCAUUGGCAUUGUGAACUUGAUCUUGGCCAUGGUACUUCUCGCUCAUCGUCACCUUCUCGAGCUCGUUGGUGAUGUGGUUGGUAGCCCCAGAGUCGACGUACCAGUUUGUGUCAACUCCGUACGAUGUGUCCGUUGCUGCUGCUGCAACUUUCUUUCUGCUGGAGUUGCUCUCGGCAUAGCGCCAAUCACAAUCCUUGGCGAUGUGGUUAUCUUUCUUGCAAAUCUGACACUUAUUUUCAUACUCCUCAUACCCUUGGAAGGGACGCCCCCUGAUGUUGUUGUACUAGGGGCAUCUAUUGUUGCCGCCGUUGUUCUGGUAGUGACCACCGCCGCCAGCGUUCUGGUAGUGGCCGCCACCACCACCGCCGCCGCUGUUGUAGUUGUUGUAGCCGCCACUGCCGCCACCGGCGUUGGAGUUUUUGUAGUGACCGCCGCCGCCGUUGUUGCCGCCGCCAUUCUGAUAAGGGCCGCCGCCGCCACCACGAGAUCCACCACCACCACUCCUGUUGGAGUUGUGGUAGCGGCUGGAGUUGUUGUUGCCACGACCUCGGGAUGCAGCAUUAGCCGUGGAUUUGAAGGCGCCCGCCCCUGUCCCGUGGAACAUCUCAACGCGCUGGUCGAAGUUUGAAACCAUGCCGAAGAGAUCAUCCACCGAGAGGGAAGUGGUGCGUAUGUCCAGCGCCGGGAUCAGGUGUUGGUAGUCCAUGUCGAGCCCUGUAAUGAUGAAAGAAAGAAGAUCUCGUUCGAGAGUGCUCUCAUCUGCCCAAAGUAUGCGGAUGCGCUCAAGGAGCCUUUCUGUGCAUUGGUGAGGGAGAUGCGGCAGUUGUUCACACGAGAACGGGAUUGGGCAGUGAACAUGUUUGCUAGAGCUGACCAUAUGGCAUGCGAGGUUUCUAGAGAGGCGACUUGGAUCAGGACCUCCUUCGAGAGAUUGCGAAGGAGGAAGGCUAUAAUCUGCUGAUCUUGAAUCAGCCAUGGUUUGUAUUCAGGGUUAGGAACGAUUUGCUCCUUUCCUUCUGAGGUCUUGGUGACUAUGGUGUUGUUUGGCUCGGGUGUGGUUUGAUCUAUGUACCCAUAUAGCCCAACACCCAUGAUCUGGGAGCGAGCUUGGGUUCUCCAUAGGAUGUAGUUGGUUCUUGUGAGAGGCUCGGAUGUGGUGCUAGUAAGGGCAUUGGAUGGAACUUGGUUGGAGGUAGACAUGGUUGGGUUUGGUGGAGGAGAAGGUAGGAGCUCGGGUUUUCAGCGGGAGGAAGGAAGGUAGUCGAGGCUAGAUGUGGCGGAAGAGGGAGGCUCUGAUACCAUGUGAGAUUGUAUCGAAGCGUCUCAAUGCCCAUACACAGGCACCCGCAUGGUAUAUAUUGAUAUUGUGGUUUGUGGUACAAGAAAGGGUUGUUGGGAUCAACCGCAUGAGAGAAUAUAGGAGGUUUAAAACAAGAAUAAGAAAGAGACCACAACUAUCUCUAGUUACAAUUGAACCUGCGCAUAGCCUCCUAUACCUAUACGUUUAACAAAAACAUCGAUCCCACACUUCUAAUGAAGCCGCACAUAAUAUUAUUUCCAUGUUCUAUGGUCAUCUCCUAUUUCCUGAUUGCACUGGACAACUCAUCUCUGGACUUGCAUAGCAACUCCUAAAAAAUGAAGUACUUGAUGUGGGCUCGUACGUCACUAAAAGGAUUUCACAAAGAUGUAUAUUGUCACUAGAUACAAAUUCUUGCUAUGGAAUUCUUAAAACACACACAUAUCACGUGCUUGUCUCGCCUCUUCUCGAGACCUUCCUUUGUUGCAAGAAAACACACAAUUUGAAGAUCCCGUUGGUGGCAAGUUGAAGAUGGAUCCGCUCAAAGACAAGUUUAUUUGUAAUAGUCCGAAUUGUCCAAUAUACAUCCCUGAAGCCCCACCCAAUAUAUCACACGAGCACAACCAGAGCUGGCCAGGAUAAUCUCGCCGAAGUCAGGGAAGUAAUUAGCACGUCAUCAACUGUAACUCACCACUUCCCAAAGGUAUCUCCAAAGGAACUGGGUGUGACACAAUAGAAAAAAAUGUGGUUAAUAUCUCUGUGAACAUCACACAACGGGUGAUCUCCAAGGCUGCUGCACUUCCUCGACGUCGGAUGUCAGAUGUCCCCUAAAAAGGAGGCACGUAUGGUAUAAUACAAGUUCGCCGCCGCAAAAAAACACAUGUUCAGUAAAAAUAUAUUAAUCAUUUGGGUUGUUUUGUGUCCAUUUGAGUGCGGACAAGAAUGUCUAUGAAACACAGAUCAAAAGCAAAAUACCAUUGCAUGUCUAAAGAGAGCUCUUACAAGGAACUGUUUGGGUGUGAAAAUUCAUCCUAAGGGCCAGUCUGGAACCAGUGAUUUUUUUUCCAGCAAUGCUUGAUCUACGUUAUACUACCUCCAUAGACGUUGGGGCAGUUUAAAUUAAAAUUGUCUCAAAGUUUUAUAUUUAGGAAUGGAAGAAGUAUAAUUUACGUGUUUAACGCGCAGUCCUACCAGGGGGUAGGAUUGGAUGACUUAGGGGAGGAAGGGGCCCACCCUCCUAAUAUUCGGGGAGGGGGUGAUAAUUAAUUGUGAGCAUUAUGUAGAGUUUUUGUCAAACAUACCUAGAUGUAGGUUUUUUUUAUUCACCAGCUCCCCUCGGCCAAUCUGGAACGGAGGUAAUACAAAACAAGUCCGACCACCANNNNNNNNNNCACAUGUUCAGUAAAAAUAUAUUAAUCACUUGGGUUGUUUUGUGUCCAUUUGAGUGCGGACAAGAAUGUCUAUGAAACACAGAUCAAAAGCAAAAUACCAUGGCAUGUCUAAAGAGAGCUCUUACAAGGAACUGUUUGGGUGUGAAAAUUCAUCCUAAGGGCCAGUGUGGAACCAGUGAUUUUUUUUCCAGCAAUGCUUGAUCUACGUUAUACUACCUCCAUAGACGUUGGGGCAGUUUAAAUUAAAUUGUCUCAAAGUCUUAUAUUUAGGAAUGGAAGAAGUAUAAUUUACGUGUUUAACGCGCAGUCCUACCAGGGGGUAGGAUUGGAUGACUUAGGGGAGGAAGGGGCCCACCCUCCUAAUAUUCGGGGAGGGGGGUGAUAAUUAAUUGUGAGCAUUAUGUAGAGUUUUUGUCAAACAUACCUAGAUGUAGGUUUUUUUUAUUCACCAGCUCCCCUCGGCCAAUCUGGAACGGAGGUAAUACAAAACAAGUCCGACCACCAGCUCCCCCNNNNNNNNNNCACCAAUCAGGAGCAUCCAUUCGAUAUCCAUCCAAUGGCCCAUGUUUAAUUUUUUAUUUUUGCAACUUAGGAGCUGCUUUUAUGGUAGUCAUCCCCGCUUAUCUGCGUUUUGAGUUACUCCCUUGUCCGGUUUACUUAUGCCCCAUUGCAAUUAUUGUCAAACUUUGACCAUAAAAUGAACUAAUAAAAUAUAAACUAUAUGUGACAAAACUAUAUUGUGUGAAUUCUCUUUUGAAUGCAAAUACAAUUCUGUAAUUUUUGUAUUAUAUAAAUAAUACGAUGUGACUGAGUUAUAUAAAUGAGCAACAUUUGAUACAAAAUACUAGUAGGGCUAAUAAACCUUGACGAGGGAGUAUCCAAGUAGCCGACAUGAUCUACACCGAGCAACACGUUCAUCCACCCUUGAAUCACGUGGUACGUUGUUGUCUUCUUUAGCAGCCCAACGUGUUGUCCACUACGAAAUCAAGUGUGGCCAAUUUAGGAGCCACCUCGUGUACCACGCACGCUGCAUGCAUGCAUGUGCGACAUUACCUUCUCUGCAUAUGCGGCUAGUUAGCACAAGCAAACAAUUUCUCGUGCUCCACGCGUGCAUGUGUGAGAGCAUCUUAUCUUCUCUCCUGCUUGUCUCAUGCAUGUGAGAGCAUCUAUCUCAUCUUCUGUCGUGAUAAAUCUUCCCUAUAAAUAGGGCAAGUGUUAUGCAAAUACUCAUAUCAGUCAAGUUCAGAGUAAGCUCGAAGUCCAUUUAGCUGGUUAGUAGUGUUGGGUAUAUAUUCCAUAUUCCAUAUUUCCAUUUCCAUAUGCUUUCUGCCAAUAAGUUUCUCUGUAUGCAUCAUCCUCAUACUUGACUUUCUCCAGGGUCUUAUUGAAGGCAUUGUUUUUAGGUGAACUCGGACUUUCUCCAGGGUGAAGAUCCAAGAUCUUCGAUCGAGCAACGACAACGCUUAUGCAUUGUUUCCUUUUUGGGGGCGUUGCUUUUGGAGAACCUCAUUUGUAUUUCGGGUGUUGUCUUCGGUGGUUGGUAGAGUGCUACUGAUGCUAGUGAUUCAUCACCGUGGCAGGGUCUUUUUUUCUGUUCCUUUUAUUUUCCUUUUUGGCUGUGUAUUCUUGAUGCCUUUGAACAUCUUGUUGGUAUAGAGUCCGGGUGUAAUUGGUAUCUUUGUGAUAUUAAUAUGUUCCUUUUGUCAAAAAAAUUAAGAUAGGAAGUAAGAAUUAUAUACAAAUAAGCACCACAUAAACGGCAGCCCAAACUUCCCAUUCCGUCAUCGCAACACUAAGUAACUACUCGCUUAAGACUAUCUUUCUCCAUCUUCCGUGACUCAAGGCAAUGCUGGUGAAUUUUAUCGACUACUGAUGUAUGAAGCAGAGAGGUGUUGUUGCACACCCUUGUGCUUCUCUCAAGCACAUGCAUCAUAGCGAGCAGAGGAUCAACCAGUUGACACCUUUUCUCAGCUUGGGAGGGAUGCCCUGCUGAAGAUCAGACCACCAGGUGAGGACGUCUGGUUCGGCAGGAAGAUCCAUCUCAGGAUGUGAGACCAGACCUCACGCGCAAGACCAUCAUUAGGUGCUCGGUCGUUUCCUUAGGUACACAUCUCUCUUUUUUUGGAUAUUUUCUUGGUAGUGAAUUAGUGAUUAAACUUUUUAGAGGAAAGGUAUUUCUGUCCAGAAUUGGUGAUUAAAAUUGAGCUGUGAACUUGGGAUUGCUCGGAAAUUACAUGCAUGGCAUUGAGAUAUGCACAAAUUUAAUUAGGCUUGUCUUAAUCUACUCUGGCUGGAACUUCACAGUUUGGCAUACAUGUACAUACAUAACUGACCGAUCAAGCACAUGAUUUUUUUUAAAGAAGGAUUACCCCCGGUUUCUGCAUUAAAAUGAUGCAUGCAUCCAUAUUAUUAUACGAAGUAGCCAUCAAAUACAUAGUUCGAUACAAAUUGGCAAAACGAGUUAAAAUAAAAUAAAAAUUGCCACAACACCGAUUAAGCACACUUUAAGGACCGAUUAAGCACACAUGACUUGCAUACUUCUUUAUUUCUCCAUAUUCAUUUAUUCGUGAGCCAGCAUGUAUGUAUGCAGGCCACAGCAAGCCAGCAAGAGCUAUCCACCUAUACAACGUGGGGGGUCUCGGCGACGGUGCCCACGAAGAUGCGGACACGGUUGGGCCUCAAGUCCUCGG